AAUAGGGGCCUAAAAUGCUCUUGUAGGUAUCUUUUGCCUUUGACAAAUAUCCUAUUAAAGCAAAAUUAGAAGAAAAUUGCCUAAGUCUUUGUUUUAUAAGAAACUCCAUGGUAAAAAGACUGAAAGAAAAUAAGUCAAAGCAGAGACAGUUAAAAUUUCCUUUGUUUUCUGAUUUUGAUCAAAAAUACUGACUAAUAAAAACUAAUAAAAAAAUUUAAAACUGAGUGAAGUUUAAAAAUAUGUAACACAUAGCUCUUUUUAAGCUGCAUAUAUAUACAUUAAUAUAUGUUACAUACUUGCUGAAUAUAUAUUCUAUUCUUUCCUGCCUCCUGGCUUGUUGAAUGCUAUCACACUCUUCCUUAAUCCCUGUAUCUAUAUUUACAUUGCAAGUCUUGUUGAAAUGCUACUUAAGUGGAAUUUUCUUGGUAUUUUAUCUAUAUAAUGUUUGUACUUGAUAUCUGCUUAUUUAUGUAUAUCACUUAGCCUAUAAGCUCUUUGGGGGUAGAAUGUGGCAUUUAUAUUUAUACAUAUUUAAUUCAUAUAGCUGCUAAAACAGCAGUGCCUAAUUCACACUCACUAAGGGCAGUUUUAAAUAUAGAUUCAUCCUUGAAGUUUCAUAUUCAGUACAUCUAGAUUGUGUCCUAAUUAUUUCUAUGUCUUAAAAGCUAUCCAUGUGAUUCUGCUGCACAGAAUUUUGUAAAUUAGUGCGCUAGAGGACCUGACAGUGGUAACUCAUGUAGAUCAGGUGUUUAAUGAAUAUUUGGCUAACAAAUAAAAUAAUAAAUUAAAAAAAUUAAUGUUUAUGUUCAAGUUUUAUAUGUAUGUGCAUAUUAAUUCUACUUUUAUAUUAAAAUUGCUAGACUAAUGGGCAACUUAGAGACUGACUUAUGUUCUUUCUGCCUCCUCAUCUUCAGACCUCCCACUCACUCUCUAUAUUGCCAUCAGAAUUAACCUUUUGAAAAAUAAAUGUAAUCCAAUAGCAUCCCUGAAAUUCUUUUGUGUGGCUUAAAGGGCUUUCCAUGAGUUGGCUCUUUCUUGUUUCUCCAGGCUUUAGCUCCUGUUACCUUCUACUUGUCCUCUUCAAUCUAGCCGUAUGGAACUGCUGGCAACAUAUCCAUUGGUUCAUUCCUCUGGGCUCUUAAUUCUGCCUAGAAUACUCUUUUAUACUGUAUCUACUUGACAAACUUUUACUUAUUUUUUAAAAAACAUAUUCAUCUUAAGGAUAAUAGUCUCCAUCCUUUGCGCCACUACCAUAUAUCUCUGUUGUAAUACUUGUCACAUCCCAUAAUAAAUACCGAAUUUAUUUCUGGGUUAAAACCCAGAAGAGAAACUCUAUUAUUCGAACCUAAAACUCACUACCUUGCCAGAAUGUAUGUAAUGCUUAGUAUAUUAGAAAAGAAGUCUACAUAAUUUCUUAUAAGGUGUAUCUUUUUUAAAAAAGUAAGUUAUUUCAGAUGAAAUAUUUAAUAGAAAGAAAAGGGGAAAUAAAAUAUUCCCAACCCAAUGCUGUGUCCAAGCUGCAUGUUAAAAGGACAUCUCUAAUUGUUACCAGAAGAUGUAAAAGAGCAGCAUGCUUGAAUGUCAUUUCUCUUUCAUCAUUUGUACCUAAGUAAGAAAAACAUAUUUUAAAACAUAGACAAUAUACUACAGUUUCAGAAUGUGUAUCAGAAUCUGCCUACUAAUGGGAGCUACCAUUUAUUAUUGAGUGCUUACUAUAUGCCAGGUUGUACAUAAGCUGGCUAUUUCAUUGAAUCCAUAACAGUAAUCCUAUCAGACAAGUUUAUUAUGAUCAAAAUUUUAUGAAUGAGGAAAUAGUAUUAAUGAGGUUAAGUAACUGUCUAAGGUCAGUUAGUGAGUAAAUGGUAGAGCUGUCAUUCAAACUCAGACAGCUAACCUUAGAAUUCAUGUCCUUGUUGCUUCCAAAGAAUAUUCACUUAUUUCUACUCCUAUUGGGAAAAAGAGUCAAUGGUUCCCAGUUAUGAAACAAGAUAAAAAUAAAUUCAUAACUUACCAACUGAUUAAAAGUAGGGGAUUAUAACAUGAAGAUAUACCCUGAAAUGGAGGUAGACACCUAGAAAUAUUUAUUCAAAGGUAUAACUCAAACAAGGGAUAAACUCACAGGGACAGGCUAAUUGCCUAACUGUGUUCCAUUUAGUUCCAGAGCUUUUUUGGAUGAUAGGUUGGAUUUUUCUGCAUAUAAAAGUGAGACCAAGAAGAUGGUAAUCUAGACCCCUACCCCAAUUUAACCAGAGAAGCUCUACUUUUUUCUUUUUCAUAUAUUGGGAUCUCAUGAAAUAUUUAUUUGAACAAAGAAUUCUGCUAAAAAGUUUGCAAAUUGAUGAUAUAUUCAAUGAAGAUCAAGGCAAAUAUGUAGUAGGGAAUUAAGAGGCAAUAGGAAAGCCAAUUAUGCGUAAUAUAUUCAGCCCCUAGAAGGACUUGUGGGAACAAGUCAACGAUGACCUGCAAGGGCAGAGAAAACAUAUGUGGGGAACUGGAAAUGUAGAAAAUGCUUGGAAAAUGGAGUACAGACUAGGAAACUAGUUGUGGGAAAUGGUCUGACUUCUUUUAAUCUAGGUUUACUUAAUCGUUACUUGUAGGCUUAGUUUAUCUCAAUUCUGGGGCCAAAAAAAGAAUAUUAAGUAUAACCACUAUUGACUUGCUCGGGAUUAACGCAAUGUUUUUCCAAUUGGAUACCCAAAGCCAUGUCCCUUUUUAAUCAUCCAUUAUAUUUCAUAAAUACUUAUGCCUGUAUAUUUUAUAAUAAUCAUCAUUCUUCUCAAUGAUGUUCAAAGCCUUUAGAAGCUCAACCCAUAUUCAACCAAUUUAAAACUUGAGAAUUACAGGACUGAAACUAUAUCCAGAAGACAUAAGUUUUUAUUUUAUGGAAGUCUUGUCUUCAUAAAGGCCAGUUGGCUGACAAUUGUUCUUUUCUAUCCAGUAUAAUCAUUACCAGAAUGCCAGCUCCCCAAAGUGUUGAUCUUGAGGCUCUUUCUGUGGCUCAGGUAUUUCAAGUAGUAAACUAUGGAUUAACACCUUCCUCUCAGAUCAAGUAUUCUAUCUCAGUAAUACUACUGUGACCUCAAGGUUUUAGUGACUAAAAUGUUGCUUCCCGCAAAGACUGGGCACUCUAUUUGGAAGAUUAAAUUCAACUUUCUUUUCAUUUGUAAAAGACAGUUAACCUUUAAAAAAAUAUAUAGGACAUCCAAGUUUAAUGAAUUUAGAAAAUAGACUUUAAAUAAAAAUAAAUUAAGUAGGUUCCAGGUAAGAUGGAGUAAGCAUACUUCACCCUGUCUCUUCCAUUGAAUACAACAAUAAACACAAACUAGAAUACAUGAAAUCUCUAAAAGGUAAAUGGUAGCAAGUGGACUGGAGGAGAUCAGAUUUCAAAAUGCCACCAAACAAGUGGUGAGUUUCCUUUUUUUUUCCACUUAUGGUAUUUACUAGCCUAGACUAAAGCAGACCAAGGCCCAGAAGUAUAUACCACCAUGUGGACAGAAAGAGCUCCAAAAGAAGGCCUCAUUUUGUCUACUAUAGAAAACUAGGUUGAUGUUAUUUCGCUUUCAGAAUUUUCAAAAGGUUACUCAUUGUCUUUUCAUUUGUAUUAUUUAUGUCAAGAAAUCUCAUGUCACCCGUAUCUUUGUUUCCUGUAUGUAGCAUGUCUUUUUGUUCCUCUGGCUCCUCCUACAGUUCUUUUAUAUUAUUGGUUUUGAGUAAUUUGAUUACGUGGACCUUGUUUUAGCAUUCUUCCUGUCUCUUGUACUUACUGUUCAUUGAGAUUUUUUGCAUCUGUGGGUUUGUAGUUUUCAUUAAGUGUAGAAAGAUUUCAGUCAUCAUUUCUUCAAAUUUUUUUUCCAUUUACUCUUUUCUCCUCUCUUUUGAGAAUGCUAAUUACCAGAAUGUUAGGCUACUUUAAGUUGUUUCACAGCCUACUGAUGCUCUUUUAUUUAUUUUCCAUUUUUUCAUGCUUUACAGUUUUUGAGAGUAACAGCUUCUAUUGCUAUGCUUUCAAGUUAACUAAUUUCUUUCUUCUGCAAUAUUUAAUCUGCUGUUAAUCCCAUCCACUAUACCUUUAAUCUCAUGCAUUAUAGUUUAGUCUCUAGAAGUUUGAUCUAGGUAUUUUUAAAUGUCUCUAACUUUUCAAACAAACAGAAAACAGUUAUAAGAAGUUUUGGUGUCCUUUUCUGGUCAUUCUAAUGUCUUUGUUGAUUCCGGGUUUGUUUUGCUUGAUUAUUCUCAUUAUGGGUUGUAUUUUCCUGCCUCUUUGUAUACUUCAUGAUCUAAUUGGAUGCCAGACAUUGUGACUGUUACCUUGUUGUGCAUUCAUGUAUUCAUAUAAAUCCUCUUGUGCUUUAUGAUGGGAUGCAGCUAUGUUCCUUGGAAAUAGUUUGAUCCUUGGUGGGUUGCUUUGUGAUUUGUUAGGGAGGUUCAGAGCAGUGAUAAGUCUAGGGAUAAUUAUCCCCCACUACUGAGGCAGGAUUUUUCUGAGUACUCUCCUUAAUCCUCUAUUAAUUAUGAGUUGUUCUAGUCUACCUGGUGGGAACAGCUAUUAUUCCUGCCCUGUGUGAAUGCAGCAUACUAGGCCAUCUAGUCCUUUCCGAUGAUUUGUUUCUCUAACUCCAUGUAGUUUCCUCACAUAUAUUAUUUGUUUGUUUUUGAGAUGGAGUCUCGCUCUGUUGGCCAGUUGGCAUGCAGUGGCAUGAUCUCAGCUCACUGCAACCUCCGCCUCUCAGGUUCAAGCAAUUCUCCUGCCUCAGCCUCCAAAGUAUCUGGGAUUACAGGUGCAUGCCACCACACCAGGCUAAUUAUUGUAUUUUUUAGUAGAGAUGGGGUUUCACCAUAUUGGCCAGGCUGGUCUUAAAUUCCUGACCUCAGGUGAUCCACCUACAUCGGCCUCCCAAAGUGCUAGGAUUAUAGGUAUGGGUCACCAAGCCUGGCCACUUCACAUAUAUUCUUUGAUCAAUCAUCUGCUGAAUACUCAAGAGAUAUCCUCUGCACAAUUCUAUACUUUCUGUGUGAAGCUCUCUGCUCUCUAACAUUCUGUUUUGAACUCUUAUCUGUCUUGGUCUUCCUGGACUCUCACCUGUUUCUUCAACUCAGAUUGUCCACCAGGCUCUGCCUCAGGUAACUUUCCCUACACCAUGGCCUGACAAUUCUUUCAAGACAGUUACCUAGGGUAAUAGUAGAGCUCAUUUCACUCAUUUCCCUUCUCUCAAGAACCACUACUUUUCAUUGCCUGAUGUCCAGGGUCUUUCAAAACCGGUUUCAUGUAUUUUGUCUUUGUCUUUUUUUUUUUUUUCUUAGGAGGGUAAAUCUAGUCCCUGUUACUCCAUCUUGGCAGAAAGAAAAAGUCUAGGAUUGAUUUUAGUUUUUGGGGAAUGAUCCAAGAUGGCUGAUCGCUAACAUCUCGGGAUUGCAGCUCCCAGUGAAAGCUCAGAGAACAAGAGGACGCCACACUUUCAGACAAACUUUGGUCGCUCACGGAGCAGAAGAUUCCCAGUGGAGGAGCUCCAUGGGUCGCCAGCAUGAUUCUUGUGGCCGGCGCAGCGGUUUCACUGGCACCUUGGCGUGGCAGCUCUCGGUGUAGAGUAAACGGGACUGGUUCCCCUUCUGACCAAGGUUUGGAGGAGCCACAUGGGUCGCCAGCACGACUCUUGUGGCCGGCACAGCGGUUGUGAUAGCACCUCGGCGUGGCAGCUCUUGGUGCCGAGUAAACGGGACUGGUUCCCCUUCUGACUGAGGUUUGGAGCUCCAGGAAGGCAGAGUUGCCUAUUAUGGACUCAAGAAGGAAGCCAGACUGGAGAUUCCCGGGUAGAAAAGCACCAUCAGUCUUAAUGCGGCUGUUUUGGCUGGCGCAGUCAGUUGCUCAUAUUUCGGCCCUGGGCAUUAACUUGGACCCACUCAGCAACCUAAUUUGAAAGUUGGUAAUUACAAAGACGACAGGGGGAUAAAUUUACAAUGAUGGGAAGAAAUCAACAUAAAAAGGCUGAGAAUACUCAAAAUCAGAACGCCUCUCCCUCUAAAGAGGAUCACAAUUCCUCAUCAACAAGGGAACAAGACUUGAUGGAGAACAAGCGCAUCCCAUUAACAGAAUCAGGCUUCCAAAGAUGGAUAAUAAGAAACUUCUGUGAGUUAAAAGAACAUGUUGUAGCCCAAUGUAAAGAAACUAAGAACUUUGAAAAAAGGUUUGACGAAAUCCUAAUGAGAAUAGACAACUUAGAGAGGAAUAUAAGUGAAUUAAUGGAACUGAAGAAUACAAUGCAGGUACUCUGAGAAGUAUGCACAGGUUUAAACACUCGAAUUGUUCAAGCAGAAGAAAGGAUAUCAGAGGUCGAAGUCCAACUUAAUGGAAUAAAAUGAGAAGACAAGAUUAGAGAAAAAAGGAUAAAAAGGAAUGAGCAAAGUCUCCAAGAAAUGUGGGACUAUGUGAAAAGACCAAAUUUACGUUUGAUAGGUGUACUUGAAUGCGACAGAGAGAAUGAAUCCAAGCUGGAAAAUAUUCUUCAGGAUAUUAUUCAGGAAAAUUUUCCUGAACUAGCAAAGCAGGACAAUACUCAACCCCAGGCAAUACAGAGAACACCACAAAGAUAUUCCCCAGGAAGAGCAACCCAAGGCACAUAGUCGUUAGAUUCACCAGGGUUGAAACAAAGGAGAAAAUACUAAGGGCAGCCAGAGAGAAAGGUCAGGUUAAUUACAAAGGGAAGCCUAUCAGACUUACAGCAGAUCUCUCAGCAGAAACUUUACAAGCCAGAAGAGAGUGGGGGCCAAUAUUCAACAUCCUUAAAGAACAGAACUUUCAGCCCAGAAUUUCAUAUCCAGCCAAACUAAGCUUCACAACUGAAGGAAAAAUAAAAUCUUUUAUGAACAAGCAAGUACUCAGAGAUUUUAUUACCACCAGGCCUGCUUUACAAGAGCUUCUGAAAGAAGCAUUACACAUAGAAAGAAACAACCAGUAUUAGCCUUUCUAAAAAUGUACCAAAAAAUAAAGAGCAUCAACAUAAAGAAGAAUUUACAUCAACGAAUGGAUAAAACAGCCAGUUAACAUCAAAUGACAGUAACCCUAAAUUUAAAUUGACUCAAUCCCCCAAUCAAAAGAUACAGCCAAAACCCAACGGCAUGUUACAUCCAGACCCAUUUCACAUGCAAGGAUACACAAAGACUCAAAACAAAGGGAUGGGAAAAGAUUUACCAACGAAAUGGAGAGCAAAAAUAAAUAAAUAAAUAAAAAGCAGGAGUUGCAAUUCUCUUAUCUGAUAAAAUAGAUUUUAAAGCAACAAAGAUAUAAUGGUAAAAGGAUCAAUGAAACAAGAGCUAACGAUCCUAACACCCAGAUACAUAGAGACUUAGACUCAAUGAGACAGAAAAUUAAUAAGGAUAUCAAGGACUCAAACUCAGAUCCAGAACAAGUAAACUUAAUAAAUUUUUAUAGAGCUCUCCACUUUCAAUACACAAAAUAUACAUUCUUGUCAAUACCGCAUCACACCUACUCAGGUUUAAAUGAAACAUUGGCCAUUAUUAAUACCCAUUUUUUUUUAGAAUAAAGCAACAUUUCUGUUCUCUCUCCUUCUUUUUCUUCCUCUUUCUUCCUCUCCUUCACUCCUUUUUUUUCUUUCCUUCUCUCAAAAAAAGAAAAAAAAGAAAUCAACUUGUAGACCUCUAGAUCCAGGUCGGCAAUGUCUCUUUCAUUGCUUGAUUUCCCUCCUUCCCUUCUCUCUCUCCCUCCCUCCCUUCCUUCCUCCCUCCCUUCCUCCUUUCCUCCCUUUCUGCCUUCCUCCCUUCCUUAAAAAAAAAAAAAAUCUAGUUUUUGACCUACUUUUUUGGGAGGAGACAGAGUGGUUCAGAUUCGGACAACAAUAAAGUUAAUAAAGUUUCUGCAAUAGGAAUCUGUCAAGUGAUACAUGUCAAUUAGGAGCUUCACUGAGAAGCAAUGCCAGGAUCAAUACCAAUGAUAUUUCUUACCUUUUUCUCUACUUAGCUGAUCCUUCAGUAUUGGUUUGGCUGGGUAUAAUAAGCUGAAUUACAGUCAUGAUAUAACCUAUGACUAAUUUCUGAAUCUUCUAUAUUCAAUUUUUACUAAUUUGAUACAAUAAUUUCUAAAUAUAGCUUUUUAAAUAAUGUGACUUUUAUUUGAACUCACCUUGGUAAACAGCAUCACUUACUACUUUUUCUUGUUCCUUUAAGAGAAACCUUGUUUGGUCAAAAAUAACAGUGGCAAAUUUCCAAUUAGCAGUAGGGAGAGUACAGAAAGAUAUAAGGUUUUUUAAGAUAGGAGAAGCUGCCGCUUCAAGGAGGCAAAAUGCUUGGCACUGGCUAUCUGCAAAAAUAAAAGCAGUAAUGGCAGUGUUUUAAUAAAGAUGGUAUGCUCUUUUUGAUAAACCAAUUAAAUAUGUUAUUUUGUGGAAAUCUGAACUUCUAUCUGAAUUAUUUUCUGAGUUAAAAAUCAUGAGAUUAUACAAAAACUUAUUUUAAGAUAUUUAUUCUACAUAGACUAAUUAAAAAACUCAUGGAAUUAUAUAAUUUUAUGGCUAUAUUAUUUGAGAGGGUUUAUUCCAUAAAUAACUUGACAUGGCAAAUAUAAAGACCCAUAUAAAGAGAAUUGCAUUUUUAAAAUUUGUCAUUCUCCAUUAGUAGCAUACAAUCUUAAGCCAAACAAUGAAAAAUUGUUUCCAGUUUUCUCAAGAAUAACAUUAACAAUUUGCGUAAUCAUCUACAGACCACAAGAAUGAAAAGAUGAGAACCUGGGUCAUAUUUCCUUAUUGAUUUUAAUAAUGAACCUGAUGUUCUUAAGCAGGCUGUUCUUUAGAGUUGAAGAAUAUUCUUCUUUACAGCAUAACAAAAAAAUCAAUAUAGGAAUCAAUAGUAACUUAUUUACAUCCCUCUGAUAGUGGGUAAGAGAACACAGAGAGCAUGAUUAGCAGUUCAUUUUCCAGUCUGGGCGGAAGAGUCCAAGGAGGUACAGUUGUUCUCAGAUUGAUAUAGGGAAGCAGCAGUAGUUUAAAUUAAAGAAGAAAUAACACUGAAUGGUUUGGGUAGGGCAAUGGGGGAGGUAGGAGCAGUGGACUGAGCAUUUCAGGUUGGAAUAAAACUUGAAAGUAGGAGUGGAAUGAAGAAAUAUCUGAAACAAGUGAAGAAAAUGACGUGGAAAAUGCAGUAUGUCCUAGCUGUCUAGGAAAGGGCUUUCAAACUAAGCAAAUCUGAAUGCAUUUUAAAAGCAUAUACCAUACCUGAUGCUUGAAUUUCAAUGACAUUAUCUGUUCCCCUUUCCUGAUUUAUUUCCUCUAGGGUUUUAUUAAUAUGAAUGAUAGGACUUUCUUCUUGAAAAGUCAAAGAACAUUCUUCUUUAUCUUGAAAUUCCAAUAAAAAAUAUAAAUUUGUGUUUUUCAAGAGAAACUUAAUGUUGUUUUACAUUAAUUGUUUUUCUAAAAUAUGAUCACAGUUGUUAAAUUUCUUCAUUGAAACACAUCAGUAUUAAAGUGAACAACUAUUUAGAUCAAUGGACCUAACACUGCUAGGUAAGAAGAUGAAUGGUAAAAAUGGAAAAACCUUUGGUAUCAGAUCAGUAUUUCAAGCUCAGUUCUGACUCAGUUUCCUCAUAUGUAAAAUAUGGAUACAUAUAUCUGCUUUAAACACCAAGUAUAGUUUCUGACACAGAAGGUAUGUACCGUUCCCCUUAAUUUCUCUGUGACUUUCCAUAUACCCUUCCUUCUACUACUAAUCCUCUCCUCUGCCCCAAACCUUCCCUAUUUCCAUCUUUUUUUCUUUAACUAGGCCAAUUCUUUUUCUUUUCUUUUCUUUUUAAGACAGGUUCUCCCUUUGUCACCCGGGCUGGAGUGCCAUUGGUAUGAUCAGGGCUCACUGCAGCCUCAACCUCUUGGGUUCAAGGCAGUCCUCCACCUCAGCCUCCCAAGUAGCUGGGAACACAGGCAUGUACCACCAUCCUGGGCUAAUUUAUUUUUUAAAUUUAUUAUUAUUAGUUUUGGUAGAGAUAGGGUCCCCUAUGUUGUCCAGGCUGGUCUCAAAAUCCUGGGCUCAAGGGAUCUGCCUAUCCAAAGUGAUGGGAUUACAGGCAGGAGCUACAAUGCCUGACCUAGGCCUAUGCUUACUACUGCACCCUGCAGGUCUCAGGCAUUUUCUAUAAAAAGUCAUAUGUAACUGCCCACCUGAAUUCCAGGCGAGCAAAGGCCUCCCCCUUUUGUUUCUUUAGCACUCUGAAGAUUUCUUUCCUGGUACUUGCCACAUUGUACUGAAAUGAUCUAUCUGCAUAUCUGACCUACUCUAUCACACUGUGAGCUUCUCAAGGUCAGCAACAUCAUCACAUUUAUCUCUAAUAUGUAAUUUAGUGCAGGCACAAAGUGUCUAAUAAAAUGUUAGUUUUCUUUCUUUCUUAGGUAUUAUAGAGGAUUUAUUCUUUCCUAGGUAUUAUAGAGGAUUUACACACAAACACAGAUACACAUAGAAGUCUAGUUAUUUUAACUAUACAGUAGUAUCAUUUAUCAGUAAUAUGAUUACAAAACAAUUCCAGAAACAUGUUACCAUCUUUAAAUACAUGGUUAAAAAUAUAAUAGUAGGCUAUAGUCUAAACUAGAUUAAUAAUGUUACUUUCAAGUAAUACUUUCAAUUAACCAUAAUUAGAAUAGAUCUGAUCAAAUAAUAUUAAUUAUUAAAAUUUUUGAGUGGUCCUAAGAAUUUAUAAUAUUACUUGCCCCUGAAUUAACUGUAAAAUAAGAUGAAAAGGAAAUAUAGUGGCUAUAAGCAGUGAAUGUAAGACAAUUACAACUCAAACAAAAACUGUUAGAUAAUGUUAGAAAGAGUAAUACACAAUUAAAUGGGCAGAGAAAGUUUUCUUUCAAGUACACAUUAAAAUUUAAGUUAAAAUACUGAAAUAGGAGUUACAGCUAAAAGAGAAAAAAGAAUGGCAGAAUUGACUAACAAAAGUUAGAAAUACUAUGAAUUUGUAAGGCCCUGUUGUAGAAAGCAAGUUUUACAAAUAGUGGCUUUUGUUACAAAUUCAAAUGCACUUUUACAUUUUUUGACAAAUACGUAUCUAUAUCUAAAUUAUGCCUAUAUAUCCAUAAACUAUCUGUAUACAAGAAGUCUCAAGAAUCAAUGACAUUUUCCUUAACUAUAAAAAAUAAUAUUUUAUCUACAAGAGCUUUAUUUCCUUUUCUUCUAUAAUAAAUUAUGUGUUUAGUCCUGAGACUACCAUAUCUACAGCAAAAUAUUAUUAUAUUACCUACCAUGUUUUUCAUCACUGUUGGUGACUUCAGUCUUUGAGGUGCAAGUCUUAUAUUUAUUUCCUUAUGAAGAAAGAAUAGGAUUUAUCAAACAAGUUGAUCGUUAGAAAAUAUUUCUGGUAUUUCUGAAUGUAACAAUAUAUAAAUAUUGAAAGUUUCCAAUGUCCCUGGCCAUUAGGUUGAACUAGUGUGUACUGAAUUUUAGGAAUAAACAAUAGCAGUCAAUGAAUAAAUAAAUAUUGUUGUGUUUAUUUCAUCAGGGUAACCAAUGUCAAACUUAUUCUGAAAUGACUGUUUUCUUUUUAUGAGAGGUAAAAUUUUAUCUAGAAGAGCUUUAUUUCCUUUUCUUCUAUAAUAAAUUAUGUGUUUAGUCCUGAGACUACCAUAUCUACAAUAAUUUAAAAUAUUAUUAAAUUACCUACCAUGUUUUUCAUCACUGUUGGUGACUUCAGUCUUUGAGGUGCAAGUCUUAUAUUUAUUUCGCAGCAUAAUAAAAUCGUUCAAAAGGUCUAAAUCAUUCUCUUGUUUUUUACCAUGUUCAAAAAAAGAUGCUUUUUUACUUAUUGAAUAGGAAGAUGAUUUAAUAGAUGGUCCUAUGCAGUCAAGUUCAAAGUGAUCUUCAUUUUCUUUCUUUUGGAUUAUUCUAUUUACUGGUUCUUGGUCAUUUGUUGGUUUUUCCUCUUUUGCUGGUCUUUUAUCAGAGAAACGUUCAUCAGAAAAACAUAGAUCUAGUACUUCUUUUGCCAGAGGUAGACUCUUUUGUGGAAGUGAUAAAUGAUCAUUUGUAGAUUUUUCAUCAAUAAGUGCAAUAGGUGAAGAAUGACUUUUAUGUUCUAAACAUGCUGAAAACAGAAAAUAAAAAAAUACACAAAUAACCUCCACAAGUGUUCUAUUAGGUAUUCAAAUAACUUAGUUGUGGUUUCUUAUUAAUGUAAUUUGAUCUUUAGGAGUACCUUGUUUUCUGCUUUGAAAAUCAAUUUUUGGUCUAAAUGAAAUAAAUUUUUAAAAAGGAUCAAAAUUUAGCACCCUUUUUCUUAUUACAGGAGCUAGUUUACCAAGCAAAGAAAUUCCAGUAAAGCCCUUUUGCUGAUAGGCUUAUGAGUCACAGCCUUUGAGGUAACAGUUACUCUAUGGGUCAAAUACUUACUUAUCAGGCAAGCCACAACAGAAAAAAAUUCUUGCAAUACAUAUAACUGACAGAGGACUGUAUCCAAAAUACACAAAGAACUCUUAAAACUCCAUAUUUCAAAAGGAACCCAAUAAAAAAUUUGGCAAAAGACUUGAACAAUAGUUCACAUAAGAUAUGCAUAUUCCUCAAAAUAGAUGAAUCUUGAAAACAUGCAAAGUGAAAGAAGUGUCACAAAAGGCCACAUUUUGUAGGAUUCCAUUUAUAUAAAAUGUCCAGAAAAGGCAAAUCUACAUAUAGAGAAUAGUGGUUCCAGAGCUGCGUAAAAUGGGGAGUGACACCUAAUAAGUACAGGAUUUCUUUUUGAAGUGGUAAAAGUUUUCUAAAAUGGUUUGUGGUAAUGAUUGCACAACUCUGAGAUGAUACUAAAAGCCAUGGAAUGGUGUAUUUUAAAUGAGUCAAUUGUAUAGUAUGUGAAAUAUAUCUUGACAAAGCUGUUUCAGGAAUACCUCAGAGAUAUUAUGGGUUCAGCUUUUCCUUUGCAUUCACAACUUGGCUGUUUGAUGCAAGAGACCUAGAUUUUCACCUGUGUCGACUCUCAACAUGCCUUUCUUACUUAAUCAUUUCUAGCCUUUGAUUUAAAGUGACAGUUGUGCAACUCUUCCUUUCACUUGAAGACUUAGAGGCCACUGUAGGGUUAUUAAUUGGCCUAAUUUUAGUAUCGUUGUGUCUCAGUAGACAUAGAGUGGCCCAAAGAAAAUGGCCUGAAGACAGGGAGAGAGAUGAGGGAACAGCCGGUAGUGGAGCAGUCAGAACACACACAUUUAUUAGUUCAAUUCACUUUUUCAUAUGGGCAGGAUCUAUGGUACUCCAAAACAAUUACAAAAUUAGAAUCAAGGUAACUGAUCACAGAUAACUAUACCAGAUAUAAUAAUAAGAAAAAAUCUGAAAUAUUGUGAGAAUUACCAAAAUGUGACAGACACAAAGUGAGCACAUAUACUUCAAAUAUCCAUAUAAUGUAUUGAAUUUAUAAAACUACAUGAAGUCUUUAUUGUGAUAUGUAACUAAUUUGAAAUUAAAAUAAAACAGUCAUAUUUUAUAUUUUUGAUAUCAAAUAAGUUAGGAUGGUAAUUCUAGAGUUGGAAAUGCUGUUGGAAAAUGACUGCCAAAGAAUUGCUUGAUGCAAGAUUACCACUAAGCUUCAAUUUGUAAAAAAGACAAUUAUCUGUGAAGCACAAUAAAAUGAAGUACAAAAAUGAAAUGUGCCUGUAUUUUUAAAAAUGAUAUACAAAUGGCCAAUGAACAUGUAAUUAGAUGCCCAAUAUCAUCAGUCAGGAGGGAAACAGAAUUAAAACCACAAAGAAAUACCACAACACACCCAUUAGAAUGAUUAAAACUUAAAACACUGCCAAUACCAGAUGUAGCAAAGAUAUAGAGUAACUGGAUCUUUCACACAUUGCUGGUGAAAAAGUGCAAUGGCAAAAUUACUUUGGGUAGCAAUUUAGUAGUUCCUUACAAAAGUAAACAUAUACAUAAGACUCAGCAAUUCAACUCCUAGAUAUUCACUCAAGAGAAAUGAUAAGGUGUUGGCCUGGCUCAGUGGCUCACACCUGUAAUCCCAGUACUUUGGGUGGCCCAGAUGGGAGGAUCACUUGAGGCCAAGAGAUUGAGACCAGCCUGAUCACCAUAGCGAGAUUAAUCUCUAAUUAACUUUAAAAAAAUAAAAUAAAAACUUACAGAGAGAAAUGAUAACAUUCUCCACAAAAAGGCUUGUAUAAGAAUAUUCAUAACUUUUAUUCACAAUAAGAAAAAACUGGGGAAAAAAUCCAGAGGAAUUGAUAAACAAACUGUGGCAUAGCCAUACAAUGCAAAAUUUCUUAGCAAUAAAAAGAAAUGAACUAGUGAUACACACAACAUCAUGAAUGUAUCUCAGAAAUGUUAUGCUGAGUAGAAGAGGGCAGACACAAAAGAACUUACACUAUUUGAUUCCAUAGGUGAAAUCCUAGGACAGGGGAAACAUAAAGUAUACAGUGAUAUAAAGUAGACCAGUGGUUGUCAAGGACCGGGGGUAGGUUAGUGAGGAGGAGAGGUGGGAUAGAGGGAGAAUGUCUACAAAGGGGCACAAAGAAAUGUUUUUAUGAUAGAAAUACUCUGUAUCUUAAUUGUAGUGGUAGUUUCACAGGCAGAUAUGCUUAUCAAAAUUCAUCAAACUGUACAGUUAAAAUAGGUGCAGUCUUCCUGGACUGGCAACAUUUGUGUAUAUUGUGAUACAUCAAUGGCAAAAGAGUUAUGUAUCCUGGGGACAAUGAAAUCUUCACAUUUGGAGCCCUCCUAGGGUCCAUCAAAAGCAUCUUUUUCUUUGGCUAAUAUGUGUCCUUUCCCUUAGUAAACCAUAUGUGUGAGUACAAUACAAACAAAACAGGUAUAGUUUUAUUUUAUGUAAAUUAUACCUCAUAAAAUUGAUUUGGGAAAAAAAUGCCUAUAGGGCCAACUAAAUAAUGUAAAUUAGUAAAAUGUAUGGCUACUGCUUAAAUCACAAUCUUUGUUUGUAUAGAUGAACUUUGUAUUAUUUUCUUCCAAAAUGUAGUUUAUAAUUUUAAUUUUGUUUUUGCUUUUGCUUUUAUUAGAGAUAUUGGUAUAAGAAACAUUUUACUUUCCUCUUAUACCUAAAUGUAAGACAAAAGUGUCAAAUGUCAACUAGCAACAGGCUUUGAUUUGUAAGUCCUGGAAACUGUGGUGGGCUGGAGAGUGCAUGGUCUGUUUAAAGUGGUAAGCUGCUAAUGGCUCCAGCCAAUUGUUGUCAUAUCAGACUCUGAGUCCAGUUUUUGAAAUUUUAAAGAUAAACUCAAAAUACAUAUUAUAUAUGUAAAAUCUCCCAAAUUUUAAAUGUUGGUAAUUGGCCAGGCACGAUGGCUCACGCCUGUAAUCCCAGCACUUCAGGAGGCCAAGGUGGGUGGAUCACCUGAGGUCAGGAGUUCAAGACCAGCCUGGCCAACAUGGUGAAAUCUCAUCUCUACUAAAAAUACAAAAAUUAGUUAGGCACGGUAGUGCAUACCUGUAGUCCCAGCUACUCAUGAAGCUGAGACAGGAGAAUUGCUUGAACCCAGGAGGCGGAGGUUGCAGUGAGCCACGAUAGUGCCAGCCUGGGUGACAGAGAAAGACUCUGUCUCAAAAAAAAAGUUGUUAACUAAUUAAAAUACCAUAUGAGUCAAUAAUAUGUGGGCUGAAUAGGAUCCAAGUGCCACUUUUCAGAUAUUCUCUAGUGGUAAUCUAGUAUGUCUAGCCGGUGAAUAGAAACUGUUUAUUAUUUCAGUUUUUUCAUUAUUUCCCUUUAUUAUUAUUGACCAUUUGGCAUGGAUUCCAGAUAUAGUUAUUGCUUUUUAAACUUCAGAAUUAUAUUGCUAUACAUUUAACUAUACUGUUAAACAUUCAUUUUUUUACAAAUUGAAGUUCUGUGGCAAUCUUGCAUCAAGUCUAUUGCGGCCAUUUUCCAACAGCAUUUUUAACUUCAGAAUUAUCAUAACUUAUUGGAUAUCAAGAAUAUCAAAUAUGAAUGAUAUGUUUUAUUCUAAUCUCAAAUUAGUUACAUAUUACAGUAAAGAUUUCACAUAGUUUUAUAUAUUUAAUACAUUAUAUGGAUAUUUGAAGACCUCAUAAAAUCUUCUCCCUUUUCUUUUGUCUACUAACCUGACAUAAUCUUAUUUAGCAUUCUUAUUCCACCAUGGGUACCAUUUAGGCCUGAGAUGGACUGGUGUGCAUUUGCUUGAUAUAGUCUAUUUAUCUGUUCUCUUUCCUAGCUAUCCAAACAUCUCUGUCUUCUGUCUUUUUAAAAAAUUUAUUUUACAUUACUUCUUGUUCUUUUUAUAAGGAAUAUUUCAAGAAGUAAGAAAGCAGAUUUUCCUAGGUUACCUUUGAAUCUGAAUUUGUGUUACCACUUUCGUUACAUUACUAGUAAGCCACAGGAGUACACUAUAGAAAUGAGUGGAAUCAGAGACAGGGAUAUAAUGACAGUUAAUUGUCUAUCAUGUAUUUAUCCCAAGGAGCACUUAUACAUCUGUUAUAUAUUUUGGUAUUUGCUACUUGUAGGUUUUUUGUGAUUAAAAAUAUAAUUUGAACUUUUAUUUUAGAUUUAGGACUACAUAGGAAGGUUUGUUACCUGGGUAUAUAGGGUGAUGCUGAGGUUUGGGCUAUGACUGAUCCCAUCACCUAGGUACUGAACAUAGCACUCAAUAGUUUUUCAACCCUUUCCCCCACUUCCCUCCUCUAGUAGCCCCCAGUUUCUAUUGUUACCAUCUUUAUGUCUAUGGGUACCCAAUGUUUAGCUCCCUCUACAACAUGCAGUAUUUGGUUUUUCCAUUCCUGCAUUAAUUCACUUAAGAUCAUGGCCUCCAGCCACAUCCAUGUCACUCCAAAGGACAUGAUUUCAUUCUUUUUUAUGACUCUGUACUAUUCCAUGGUGUGUAUGUACCACAUUUUUUUAAUCCAAUCCAGCGUUAAUGGGCACCUAGGUUGAUUUCAUGUCUUUGCUAUUGUGAAUAGUACUGUGAUGAACAUAUAGGUGCAUAUAUGAGGUGAAAGACCUCUACAAGGAGAACUACAAAACACUGCUGAGAGAAAUCACAGAUGACACAAAUAAAUGGAAAAACAUUGCAUGCUUAUGGAUUGGAAUAAUCAAUAUAGUUAAAAUGGCUAUACUGCUCAAAGCAAUAUGCAGAUUCAACACUAUUCCUAUUAAACUACCAACAUGAUUUUCCACAGACCUAGGAAAAACUAUUUUAAAGUUCAUAUGGAACCAAAAAAAAAACCUGAGUAGCCAAAACAAUCCUAAGCAAAAAGAACAAAGCCAGAGGCAUCACAUCACCUGAUUCCAACUAUACUAUAGGGCUACGGUAACCAAAAUGGCAAGGUACUGAUACAAAAAUAGACACAGGACUAAUGGGACAGAAUAGAGAACCUAGAAAUAAAGUCACACACCUACAGCCAUCAGAUCUUGAACAAAGUCGACAAAAAUAAGCAAAGGAAAAAGAACUCCCUAUUCAAUAAAUGGUGCUGGGAUAGCUGGCUAUACAGAAUAAUAAAACUGGAUCCCUACCUUUCACCAUAUAUAAAAAUUAACUCAAGAAGGAGUAAAAAUUUAAAUGUGAGAACUUAAACUAUAAGAAUUCUAGAGGAAACACCCUUCUGGACAUCAGCCUUGGGAAAGAAUUUAUGACUAAGUCUUCAAAAGCAAUUGCAACAAAAACAAAAAUUGCCAGGUGGGAUCUAAGUAAACUAAAGAGCUUCUGCACAGCAAAAGAAACUAUCAACAGAGUAAACAGACAACCUACAGAAUGGGAGAGAUUAAUCACAAACUAUGCAUCUGACUAAGAUCUAAUAUCCAGAAUCUACAAGGAAUUUAAACAAUUGAACAAGCCAAAAAUAACCCCAUUAAAAAAUGGGCAAAAGACAUGAACAGACAGUUAUCAAAAGAAGACUUACAAGCGGCCAACACACAUGAAAAAAGUGCUCAAUGUCACUAAUUAUCAGAGAAAUGCAAAUCAAAACCACAAUGAGUUACCAUUUCAUACCAUUCAGAAUGGCUACUAUUAAAAAUUCAAAAAACAAUAGAUGCAGUAAGGCUGUGGAGAAAAGAGAACACUUAUACACUAGUGGUGGGGGAUGUAAAUUAGUUCAGCCACUGUGGAAACAGUUUGGAGAUUUAUCAAAGAACUUAAAACAGAACUAUGUUCUAUCCAGCAAUCCUAUUACUGUGUAUAUGUUUAAAAAAUAUAUUGUUCUGUCUUCUGUCUUUGAAACAUGCCUUGCUGAUAACAUUUCUUAUUCAGAUUCCUUAACUCCUUAGACCAAUCUCCCAACAUAGACAAUAAUUUCUAAAAUUUAUUUUUAAAUAUGUUCAUUAUUCUAUAAUAAACUAUAAACACUCCGAAAUCUGGCUGGGCACAGUAGCUCAUGCCUGUAAUCCCAGCAUUUUGGGAGGCCUAGGCAAGCAGAUCACUUGAGGUCAGGAGUUCGAGACCAGCCUGGCCAACUUGGUGAAACCCCGUCUCUACUAAAAAUACAAAAAUUAGCUGGGUGCAGUGGUGGACACUUGUAAUUCCAGCUACUCGAGAGGCUGAGGCAAGAGAAUCACUUGAACCUGGGAGGCAGAGUUUGCAGUGAGACUCAUGCCACUGUGCUCCAGCCUGGGCAACAGAGUGAGACUGUGUCUCAGAAAACACACACACACACACACACACACACACACAUGCUAAAUACAUUUAAUUUACUAUUAAUAUAAUACCAUAUAUAGCAACCAAAAUGGCUCAAGACAUAAAUACUCAAAAGUCAUUUUUGCCUUUUUAAGUUGUACAGUAAAAAAUGAAUUAGUAAAUUUUAAGUAACAAAGGAAGAUUCUCUAUUGUUGAAGAGAGACAUUACUGAAUGCCAAUGUUCAGCUGUUAGGUCAAAAAACAAUUACAGCAAAAUGCUGACCUGUGUCUAGGCUGAGUGAACAGAAAUUGCUAGUAAUUUAAUCGUUUAUAAAAGGAAACAAAAUCACUUUAAAUGAGAAUUGCUAGAAAUUUAAAAACUGAGACUAUAGAAUUUUAGGACAUAAUGAGAUUGUAGGAUUAACUAGUCAAACUUCAUCAUUUUUAUUUUUCAAGAAAAUGGGACCUAGAGAAAUCCAAAGUCAUAAAUUCUGGCAGAGCCAGGGCCUAUAUGGAAUGCAAAAACCUAAUGAUUUUCCUAAUUACCUAGAGGAAAUCCAGAAUCUAAUAUUUUCACAUUCUGAAAAUGUUUACAUGACUAACAUUUACUAUUAUGUACUUACCUUCCAAUUGAAAUACUUUUGAAGGCAAAAAUAGCUCCAUUUUAUUGUCAUUAGAAGAUAGAUCAUCAAGACAUAAAUCCGUAUUCAGAUGUUCCAAAGUUUGCAUCAUUUUCAGAUUUAGUCCUGCUUGUUUCCACCACUCUGUGUUUACGGGAUUAAUAAUAAGGCUUUCUUCUUUAACAGAUAAUAUCUUUUUCAAAUCGGUAACUGAAUAUUGGCUGUAGGGCUCUUGAAUUCUUGGUACUUACAAAAAAAUAGAAACAAUUAGUUAGACACAGUCUACAAAGCAAAAGAAACAAAACACAAUAAAAAGAACCACACUGGAAUUUCUUUAUGAAAUGCAUUUUCAUGCAUUAGGAAAAAAGUAAAACUUAAAGUUAUAUCUGGUAUUUUUGUUUUCAAGAUGCUAAUAUUUGUAAAAGUUCAAGCUAUUAUAACAGUAGAAGUCACAUAAAGGAUUUAUUCCACUGUGAAAAUAUCGAGAAGUUAAAAUUAUUCUAAUAUUUGAUAUGAGAAGGAACUCUUAUUUUGUUUGACCAUUUUCAAUUACUAAAUUAAUACAUUUGAUUAACAUUUUGAAGUAAUAUAAGCUUUAUUAAAUUCUAACUCAUUAUAAUAAGCCUAAACAAGAAGAUAUAUUUUUUCAGCUUUUAUGAUGACUAUAUUAUCUAAGAUAUUGUGGUACAGAGCUUACUGCCUCAUUACUUUUUAGCCUAAAUAGGGAGAAAUCAUAACAUAGGGAGGAACUGAAGUAGCAUAACUACCUAAUAUUAUUUAUCUGUAUUAUAAGCAUCAACCUGAAAAUAGGAUUAUAAAUUUUGAAACCCUAAUUUUGGAAUGGUGUUUUCUAAUGACAGGAAUAUUAAGAAGAAAUCAAAACUUAAAAUAAAAAUACUAAUAUUAAUAACAGUAAUUACAAGUUACUAAAAAACAUCUGGCACUAUGCUAAGUGCUUUCUUUAUAUAGAUUAUUCUUUUUUUUUUGAGAUGGAGUUUCACUCGUUUCCCAGGUUGGAGUGCAGUGGCGUGAGCUCAGCUCAUGGCAACCUCUGCCUGCCUGAUUCAAGUAUUUCUCCUACCUCAGCCUCCUGAGUAGCUGGGAUUACAGGUGCCCACCACCUUGCCCAGCUAAUUUUUUGCAUUUUUAGUAGAGAUGGGGUUUCACCAAGUUGAGUAGGCUGGUCUCCAACUCCUGACCUGAGGCAAUCCACAUUCCUCCAUGUCCCAAAGUGCUGGGAUUACAGGCGUGAGCUACUAUGCCUGGCCUAUAUGCAUUAUUCUUAAUUAAUCCCUAAAUAAUUCUGUAAGAUAGAUAUAAUUUUAACUAGCUUUAUUAAAGUAUAACUGACAUGCAAUAAACUACACAUAGAGUGAAAAGUUUGAUAAGUUUUGACAUAUUUAUACAUUCGUGAAUCCAUUACUACAGUCAAGGUAAUGAAUAUAUCCAUUCCCUUCAAAGUUUGCUCCUGCCUCUUUAUACCUCUCUUCUAAUCUUCCUCAUCCCCCAGUCCCACUGUUCUGCUUCCUGACACUAUAAACUGCAUUUUCUAGAAUUUUAUAUAAAUGGAAUUAUACCAUAUGAAUGCUUUUUUUGUGGUUUCUUUCAUUCUGCAUAAUUAUUUUGAAAUCAUCUAUUUUGUAUGUAUCAACAGUCCAUUUCUUUUAUUCAGAUAGAAAAUAAUUGUAGAUUCACAUGUAGUGGUAAGAAAUAAUAUAAGAUGUCUUGUUCCCUCCUUUUUUUGUUUUCAAAGUAUAUUAUACUAUGUAAUUGAUAAUUCAAAUAUAUAAUCUGAUUUUGAUGUCUAAUGUUUCUGCUUUAUCUCACUGGUGAUCCCGAUAUAUAUUGUGAUUUUUGUCUAUUAGCAUGUGUUUCUUUCAAUUUUGUGGAAGGUCUUUGAAGCCUGUGUUGAAGUAUAUUCCUCAGGAAAAAAUUUCCUCUAGAAAGGAUUUAUCUUUGUUUAUGUGUUUGGGAGGCCUGUCUGCCUGGGACCACUUUAAAUUAAAUCACCACUAUUUUUUCAAAUUAUAUAGGUGGUUUGAAUUCAGACUGCAACCAGGCAUGAUGGCUGCCUUCUGGUUAGAAGUACUUAAGGGAAAGUUUUUUUCUUUUCUUUUCUUCCAGCUCCAAGGUAGAAAUAGGCAAAUUUAUUUGGAGUUCCCUUCUAUAUGGUGGUUUAUUUUUGUAUGCUCUUAUUUUAAUGGUAGUUUCUUGAACUCCAAGUUUUAUGUAGGGUUUCCCUAUUAGAUUCAACAUGAAGGAUAUUUCUUGACUCUACACUACAUACAGACUUCAAAACAGAAGUUCAAAGUCUCCUAGGUUUAAUAGAGAGCCUGGAGGGAGAGCCAGCUUUGGUGCUUACUUGCUCCCCAGGAUUCCUGUUUUCACUUUGUUUUCGGCCUCCAAAUGCAACUCAGUGAUUCAUUUAAAAAAUUUUUAAAAGAAUACCUUAUCCAAAAUUCCAUUCACAUAAUGGAUAGUUCAGACACAGACAAGAGUUUAAUUUACUCAAGUAAAUUUUGAAUGUACAUGUGAAAUGUAUAUUCACUUCAAAAUUAUUUUGUUAAACUAUAAACAAGUUUUGCUAAAAUGCUUUUAUUGAUUUAUUUUUGAGAUGGAGUCUCGCUGUGUUGCUCAGGCUGGAGUGCAGUGAUGAUCUCAACUCCUGCAACUUCCACCUCCCUGGUUCAAGCGAUUCUCCUGUCUCAGCCUACAGAGUAGCUGGGACUACAGGCGCAUACCACCACACCCAGAUAAUUUGGUAUUUUUAGUAUAGAGGGGUUUCAAUAUAUUGGCCAGGCUGGUCUCAAACUCUUGGCCUCAAUUGAUCCACCCAUGUCAGCCUCCCAAAGUGCUGGGAUUACAGGCGCGAGCCACAGUGCCCGGCCGUUUGUUUGUUUUUCUGUGUGUGUGUGUUUUUUUUUUGUUGUUGUUGUUUGGUUGGUUGGUUUCUUUUUCUUUUUGAGACGGAGACUCGCUACGUUCCCAGGCUGGAUUGCAAUGGCGCGAUCUCGGCUGACUGAAAUCUCCGCUUCCCAGGUUCAAGAGAUUCUCUUGCCUCAGCCUCUCAAGUAGCUGGGACUACAGGCACGCCCCGCCAUGCCCGGGUAAUUUCCAGCCGUUGUUAAAACGUUUUAAGUGUCCUUUUUGGAAAGCUUGGGAAAUGAAACAUUUUAACUUUGGAUGUGAUUUUUUUUAAACAAACAACUCACAACCUUGGAAAUAGAAAUUACGUAUAUGGGACUGUUUUGUGUACUACUUGUAUUUCAUUUCUUUUCUUUUCCUUCUCCCAUGUGUAGGAAUUAUCCAGAAAAUCAGCAGGAUCCAGAUCUUGUCAUAUACUUCUGUACCUAGCAUAAUGAACCUUAUAGAAGGUAUCUUGAUAUUUUACCUUUAGGCUAAGUUACAUAUUCUGUGUUAAGAAAUGGCCAAAGAAAAAGGAUGCCCCACAUUUCUACUGGUUGUAUAGGUACCUUUUAACCUAUACUUUCUAUUUAUCAUUUAAAAGCAAUUAAUCUUUACCUGUAAGCAAAAAUGAGUUCAAAGGGCUUCUACAGCUUUCUAAUUGCCACAUCAUGUAGUAUUUAUUAGCUGAUUCUUCAGCAGUAAGCAAGUUACUGAAAAAAGGAGUUAAAGUUUAACACAUUAAUAAUAUUGAGUCUUUGGUAUAAUAAAAUUUUGUUUUUAAAAAGUAUUUUUAAAGUACUUUUUACACUCAAAAUCAAGUGAAAAAUUAACUUUAUAAAUGUGUAAACUGCAGUAGAGUUCCAUAGACCAAAUGUCAAAUACAGUACUCAUUUUCUCCAUCCCUGGGAAGGUUUGGCAAUUUGUAAACUCAAUUGUUCCUAAUUGACUAUAAAUUACUCCCACCUUUACCUCCCUCAGUGGCACCUGGAGCCAGAGAGGGCUGACACAGGAGGGUUUUAGCACUUCCCUGCAUAAACUAUGCUAGCACCAAUUUUCUACACCACCCAAAAUAAAAAUACAAUCUAAGUAAAAUUAUCAUGCUUACCAUGAAAAUAGCAACUUCAUUUAUUAAACAGGGAAUCUGAACCUGGAAACCAUCAUUCUCAGCAAACUGACCCAAGAACAGAAAGUCAAACACCAAAUGUUCUCACUCAUAGGCCAGUGUGACAAUGAGAACACAUGCACACAGGGAGGGGAGAAUUACACACUGGGGUCUGUGGCGGGGGUAAAGAGGGGAGGGACUUCAGGGGGUGGGGAGUUGGGGAGGGAUAACAUGGGGAGAAAUGCCAGAUAUAGGUGAUGGGGAGGAAGGCAGCAAACCACAGUGCCACGUGUGUACCUAUGCAACAAUCUUACAUGUUCUUCAUAUGUACCCCAAACCUAAAAUGCAAUAAAAAAAUUCUAAAUAAAAGAUUGAAAGAAAAAAAAAAGAAAAUAGCAACUUCAACAAAAAUUUUUACAUAAUUGCUGUCCCAAGUCCCUUCCAUAUAUAUAGAAAUUCUGGAUCCUCUACUGGCUGAGGAUCAGUACUAUGAAAAAGUCCUUCUCUGGAGAUGGCAGAGUCCUAAAGUUUAGUUCAAGACCUUCAGUCUUGGUGGGUUUGUGAGUAUGUGAUGUGUGUUUGUUUGUGUUUAGGGGUACUGGGGGCAGAAGGGAGGAAAUACGCAUAACAGUUAGUGUAAAUUACAGCUUAUCUGUAGCUAUGAAGCUACUAGCCUUGGUAGGGGAAAGAUUAUUAAUUCAUAAACCCCUUAAUCUGUGCCCUAAACCUCCUGCUAGCCUGAGUGAGAAUUGAUUGUAUUCGGUUUCUUUGUUCAUAUGGAACAUAUAAGAGCAUGCUCAUAAUUAAUAAGUACUGCCAGUUAAAUUGACAGUCUAGGGCAGUGGAAAGCUAGGUUUUAUGUCUAAGGCAUUCAGUUUACCUGCAUAAUCCAAAAAUCUGGUCAUGCUGUAGAAAAUUUGAGAAUCUAGGCAAUUCUUGAAUCUUACCAAGGGUUCUUUGACAACACCUCAGAUUGUCAGCAACUAUUUUAAAGUGAAAGGAAGGGGUAAUACUUAGCAAGCCAUGUCCAAUAUAGACAUAUUUCACUCUUAAUGAUGCUUUCUGAAGACAUGUCUGAAUUUGAUACAUCGUUUGUUCAUAAAAAUAUAUUCACAAGUCGGCAGUUAGUUAGUAGGUUAAUAAAAUCUCAUGCCAUACAGACUUUUCUUUUUUAGCACACAAAACCUAGCAUAGAAUCUCACAUGUGGUAGGCACUAAAAAUAUUGUUAACUGGGUAUUAUUUUCAGCCAAAGUGUUGUGUUCUGAAAUAAAAAUAAUUGAUACCUUGAAAAUAAGUUAAAGCUAUAAUAACAUUCCUUAUUAUUUUCCCUUCCUUUAAAAAAAAUCUUAACACUUUUUCUCCUUGUUUUUAGUCUUGCAGUUGAGAUAUACAGUAGUUCCCCCUUAUCCAUGAUUUCCCUAUACUCAAUUUCAGUUAUCUGUGGUAAACCACAUCCCCAAAUAUUAAAUAGAAUAUUCCAUAAACAAUUCAUAAGUUUUAAAUUGCACUAUUGUGAGCAGUGUGAUGAAAUUUCAUGCCACCCUACACCAUCUCACCCAGAAUGUGAAUCAUCCCUUCACCCAGCAUAUCCACACUAUAUAUACUCACUACCUGCCCAUUUGUCACUUAGUAGCAUUCUCAGUUAUCAGAUCGGCUGUUGCUUAUGUUCAAGUAACCCUUACUGAAUUUAAUAAUGACUCCAAAGCACAAGUGUAAUGAUACUUGUAUUUAUUAUGGUCGUUCUAUUUUAUUAUUAGUUAUUAAUGUUAAUGUCUUACUAUGUCUAAUUUAUAAAUUAAAUUUUAUCAUAGCCAUGUAUAUAUGAGAAAAAACAGCACAUAUAGGGUUUGAUAACAUCUGCAGUUUCAGACAUCCAUUUAGGGUCUUGGAAAUUAUUCCCCCUGGAUAAGGGGGGAACUACUGUCAACUCAUUUUAAAAUACAGAUUUUUAAGCUUUUACAGUCACCAAACCAAUGAAAGUGAUUUAUCUCUUGCUCAUAAAUGGAGUAGUAAGGGAACAACUUCUUUCAGUUGUUUCAAAUAACUCUAAAACCAUUAGCAAUUUGAAAGACUUUUUUGUUCUAACUUUGCCAAAUCAUUAGUUAAGAUUUGUUUCAUAAAUUCUUAUGAGACAUUUUAGUUGUAACAAUAGACAUAUAACAUGUGAUUAAAAAGAGCUUAUUAGGGUUUAUAUAGUUUUAAUAUCAGAUUGAAAUUAAAGAUUACAGUAAUUUCUGCUAGUGUCUGUUUCUAAAUAUGCCAAUCUGCCAUAACAGAUGGAUUAUGGUAUAUGGAGUAAAAAAAAGAGUAAAAGGGCACUAAUAAAGACCGCACAUGUCCUGCAAAUAAACAUCUCGCACCUUAGCAAGGGAACUAAAAGUAUUUAAACAAAUUAUAUGCAGUUUCCAUACUUGUCCUGUGCAAUUUGUAGGGCUCAUAUCUAAUAUGGACAAGUCUUAGUUCACGUAUAGCACACUCUGUAUAACACAAAUUUGCUCCAGAAAUGUAAAUAGUUCUUAGCUAGAAGAUAAAGACAUAUUUAGGGCCCUCAGUCUCAUGCUUUGGCACUUUCCUGAGACCAUUAAUAGAAGCCUAAGCAGCCAGUGAUAAAUUAUAGAGCCUUGACUUCAGUUGCUCCCAGUAAUCCAAAUAGCACUCUCCUCUGGCAGAUGAGCUAAUCAUAACAAGAACUCAAAACCUAAUACACAGCUCCCACAGUUUCCAGUCCUGGAAUAAUUCAUUAGAGACUUGUAGACUUUACUGUCGUUUUCCUGAAAAUAUAUUAUUUUAGGACACAUUAAGUUCUAAGUUUGUAGUAGACUGAUUGUACUGAUUAUGUUCCCAAUUUUGUAACUGGCAUAAGAAGCAGAGGAAUGGAGUGGCUUUAUUCUAGGAUAGCAGACCAAUCAAUCUCAGAGAACAUUAAGUUACAUGUGUGCUACACGGUUUAAGAUAGCAACAAAAACUAUCUCAGACUUUGUCAAAGGGCAAGAUGCUGGGCGACUUAAGUUUGGCAAUUUUGGCUCAAACUAGAAUAUAAUGACAUAGCCUUGCAAUAUCAAUUCUACAAUUUCAGACUAUUCUGUGCAACAAUGAUGGUGUAUUGAACAAGUUUAUGAAUCAACCUUGGUUCUGCAUGUCUGGUUCACCCAAUACUGAGACCACAUUGACAGAGGUGUACAAGGUCAGUGAAUGUCUUCUGUUAGAGACAGGACAUGACCCUUGGUACUCUUAGUGGGAAUAUAUUGAUCAACAUUGUCCACACUGCUCUGUGAUCUUUGGCUAUUUCUGGCCACAGACCUAUGACAAAUCUUUCAGUAGACCUCUUAAAAACCUUAUGAGGUAGAUACUAUUAUUAUCCCAGUAUUGUAGAUUAAAAAAAAUGGAGGCACAGAACAAUUAAGAUUGCAGUUAGAAAGUGAUAGAGACAGGCAAUCUGGCUGUAGUUCAGAGCUUCUACCCACUUAUUAUGGGCUGAAUUGUGCCCCCACAAAAUUCUUAUGUUGAAGUCGUAAUCCUCAGUACCUCAGAAUGUGACUGUAUUUGAGGAAAGGGUCUUUAAAGAGGUAAUUAAGUUAAAUAGGGCCACUAAUAAAACAUGACUGGUAUUCUUAUAAGAAGAGGAGACUGGGGUAUAAACAAUGAUGGAGGAAAGAAUGUAUGAAGACAAAGGGAGAAGAUGGACAUGUAUAAUAAAUCAAGGAGGGAGGCCUUAGAAUGAAUUCAACCCAGGUGACACUUUGUUCUUUCACUUCUUGCCUCCAGAACUGUGAGGAAAUAAAUUUCUGUAGUUUAAGUCACUUAAUCUGUGGUAUUUGUUAUGGCAGCCCUAGCAAUCUAAUAUACUACUACAUUGCCUAAUUUAUAAAAUAAACUUUAUCAUAGGUAUCCAUAUAUGAGAAGAAAACAGUAUAUAUAGGUUGUGAUAAAAUCCACAGUUUCAGGCAUCCAUUUAGGGUCUUGGAACUUAUUCUCCCUGGAUAAGGGGGGACUAGUAAACUUGGUCUUUAAACCGAGUGACUGCCAGUAGAAACAGUGCCAUUAGCAAGUAUCCAGUGGCAAUGUCCUAAGCAUACUACUCCAAUGUCAGGAUCUUAAAAAUUUUUUAAUUUAUUUAUUUUUAAUGAUAAUAUAUUCACAUUAAAAAUACUGAAAUGUGUAAAAGGCCAUAUUGUGAAAAAUUUCCUACCCACAUUGCUAGGUUACCUAGUUCCUUUCUGAAUACAACCAAUAUUUCUUGUUUCUUGUGUGCCCUUCUAAAGAUACUCUUUGCAUAUAAAACCAAAGAUAUUCAUAUAUUUAUAUAUUCCUUCUAGUUACUUAUUAUAGACACUAUACCAGCUCUUAAAUUUUUUCAGAGAGGUAUCUUGGAAAUUGCUCUUAUAUGGAGAGAUUUAAAUAAAGACUGCUUGUUCUGAAUUGCAACUUGGGUUCUAGAUAUAAUACUUACAUUUUGCAAACCGGAGAUAAUGGAAAUGUCUGAAGUUCUGCACAUAAUGAAUUCACUGAAGAAUGCUGCCAUGAUAGGUCUAGAGGAGUUAGUGGCAAUUCUAACUCUCCUGGAAUAUAUGAAAAUGGAAGUUAUGUAAACAUUGAAUAAUAUUAAGUAGGCCAGGCACGGUGGCUCACACCUGUAAUUCUAACACUUUGGGAGGCUGAGGUGGGAGGAUCACUUGAGUCCAGGAGUUUAAGACCUGGGCAACAUGGCAAGAUCCAGUCUCUACAAAAAGUACAAAAUUAGAAAGGAGUGGUGGCACAUGCUUGUAGUCCUAGCUACCUGGGAAGCUGAGCUGGAAGGAUUGCUUGAGCCCAGGAAUUUGAGGUUGCAGUGAGCUGUGAUUAUGCCAUUGUACUCUAGCCUGGGCAACAGAGCAAGACUUUGUCUCUAAAAAAAAAAUAAAUAAAUAAAAAUUAAGUAUAAUUUAGAACUUUUUGUAAGCAACUAUUAUGUUUGAUAAUUCUGUUACAACAAAAAUAUUUCAAUAAAAAGAAAUUUGAGUUGAGAUACAAAAUAAAUGUCCAUCUAUAUAAGGAAUUACAUAUAUAUCACAUUCUCAACUACAAUUGUGGUGAUUUUUAAAAAAUACCUUGAUAGUUAAACUUGACUGAGUUUACUCUGUUUCAGAUAAAUUCUGAGAGCUUUAUAUAUUAAGGCUUUUGAUUCUGACAGCUUGUGUUGUCAGUACUUAGGUGAUAGAAUUAUUUUUAUUUCCAAAGAAAGAAAAAAAUAAUUAUUUGUAUUUUCAUACUAUUCGUGAUGUUAAACAAACUGUAUUAUAAAGAGUAAUUAUUCAUCUUAAUGACUCUGAACUCUAGAUGGCCUAGCACAGAAUUAUAUAUUUAUAUGGUAGACUUGAAAAACUAAUUUUCAUGUAUUGAUAACUAGUGGGCGUGUUUUCAUUACUUUCAUGAAUAAAGCAGUAGACUUUCAAAUAGAUAAUUCAGAUGAUCCAAUUAUAAAUGUAAUUAAGUAAGAGUGCCAUUAACAUAGUUAAGAAGCAACACAAUUUGGCAUUGUACUGGAACAAAAGAUGAUUCUGAGAUUCCAAAUUUGGUAGAAUAAUGAUAUUAAAAAUAAUGAUGACACAGAGAAUAAGAUUGCUUUGAGAGAUUAAAAAUUCAAAAAUUUUAAAAAUGUCACAGUGAUCAGCAAGAUUGCUAAUAUUGAGAUAAAAUAUGAAAUUUUAUUUACUGAGCUAUACUAUUUUAGGGUUUCUAUUUUUAAUAUUAACACUGUUUCCUCCAUUCCUCUUCCACAAUCUUCGUAACUCCCAUUUAUGUAUUAUUCAGUUUGUUUGUUUGUUUGUUUUGAGACAGAGUCUAGCUCUGUCACCCAGGCUGGAGGGCAGUGGUGCAAUCUCAGCUCACUGCAACCUUCACCUCGCCAGUUUAAGCCAUUCUCAUGCCUCAGCCUCCUGAGUAUCUGGGAUUACAGGCAUGUGCCACCACACCAGCCUCGCUAAUUUUUGUAAUUUUAGUAAACAUGUGGUUUUGCUAUACGGGCUGGUCUCGAACUCCUCAUCUCAAGUGAUCUGCCCACCUCAGCCUCCCAAAGUGCUGAGAUUAUAGGUGUGAGCCACCAUGCCCAGCCUAUUAUUCAGUUUUGAUUCCAGUAGGAUUCUGAGUUAAUGAUAGUAAUAAAGGGGCAAAUAAGAAAAAAUGACAUAGGAUUAAAACAAUCAAAUUUUAAGCAUGGAAACUGACUCACGGUACACUGUAUAUGCAAAUGUACUGUACUUUUACAACAUAAAUAGGUAAUCCCCGAGAAGCUCAAUGAUUUAUCAAAAUUUCUACCUGGUUUACUGCACUUUUCUGGUUCACUCUGGCUUUGAAUGGCCAAAAUUUCUGCGGAGCUGAAUUUUAUAUCCCCGAUAUCCUCAAUUCCGUGCUUGUUAGUAAGAUCUAAAAAGGAAGAAACUCUACUAUUAGCAAGUGUACAAUUAAAUUAAAUUUUUUGUAACUUUGUUUGGUGGCAUUUUCCUUUUAAAGUAUCUUUAUUGUUUUAUUUCAUGUCAAUUUUUCAUUUUAGAGAGAAGCAGAUUUAUACUUCUGAAGAAAAUGCUAACUUAGGAAACUGAGUGGAAGCAUUCUACUAAAAGGAGGGAAUAAACUGACUAAACUGGCAGCUAUAACAUUGAAGAAACAAGACGCCCAGUACAAGAAAGAAGUGAACAGAAUCAUCAGGGAUGGUGGUGAUAAUGACUUGUUCUAAAACUAAAAUUCCCAAAGAUAAAACUAUUGGUAAAAUUGAUGCUUGAAUGUGUUAAGAGGAGAUUUAGACAAACGGGAGAGUUUUAAGAUCAAGUUCUAUGUACUAAAUACAUAAAAACUAAACAAAACAAAAAAAAACAGGAAACAAGCGUUAACUUUUGUACAGUAAUCUCCUUUUAUCUGAGAUUUCAGUUCCCCACAGUCAACUGCAGUCCAAAAAUAUUAUAUUGAAUGGAAAAUUCCAGAAAUAAACAAUUCAUGUCUUAAAUUGCACAGUGUUCUGAGUGGCAUGAUGAAAUCUAGUGCUAUCCUGCUCUGUCCCACCCAAAUGUAAAUGAUCCACUGUUUCCACACUGAUAUGCCACCUAUUCAUUUGUCACUUAAUAGCUGUCUCAAUUCUCAGAACGAUUGUCCUUGUAUUGCAGUGCUUGUGUUCAAAUAACCCUUGUUUUACUUAAUGCUCCAAUUUUAUUGUUAGCUAUUUAUUGCUAUUCAUCUCUUACUGUGCUUAAUUUACAAAUUGAAAUUUAUCAUUGGUAUAUAUGUUUAAGAAAAAACAUUAUAUAUACUGUAUAGGGUUUAGUACUAUUGGUGAUUUCAAGCAUUCAGUGGGCGUCUUGCAAUGUAUCCCCUGUGGGAUACAUUUAUUGUACAAGAAAGACAUCAAUGAACAACACAAUACUAUUAUCAGCAAUAAAUAGUAUUUAUGCACUCACAAUUCUGUAAAUACAGAAUACUGAUCUAACCAAAGUUAUAACUACAUUGGGAGAGUAGACUAUAGGAUGUGUGGGGUUAAGUAGUAGUAAGGGUAUAAAAGAGUGAGGACAACUCCAUCUUUAUUCUCAUAGUGAGAGAUCAAUAUAUAAGGUCUAAAACUAAAAACAUCAGGAAAUAGCAGUAUAAGUAUACCAUACAGAUAAAUAAAUGGCAAAAGAAAUAUAGUUUCUUUUAAAACUGUUUUAAAGAGUUGAAAGUGGUUGCCUCUAGAGAGUGAAAAAAAUAAGGGGCAGUUGAUGAAAUCAGAAAAUUACUGCUUUUAAAAAAGUGUUAUACAAUCAUUUUAAUUGAUGGUGUAGAAAACAUAAAAUGACACAGAAAAGUGUUUAUAAAAUCUAAGUAAAAAAAACAUUAAAAAGCAUAUAAAUAUUACCUUUGGCUGAAUAUAACAAAGAAUUAAACCAAAGAUUAAUUCAAAACUCUGGGUUUUGGCCAGGCACAGUGACUCACACCUGUAAUCCCAACACUUUGGGAGGUCAAGGUGGAAAGAUCACUUGAACCAGGAGUUUGAGACCAUCCUGGCCAACAUGGUGAAACCCUGUCUCUACUAAAAAUACAAAACUUAGCUGGGUGUGGUGGCAUGCACCUGUCAUUCCAGCUACUGAGGAGGCUGAGGCAUGAGAAUCACUUGGACCCAGGAGGCAGAGGUUGCAGUGAGCUGAGAUCACCAUUGCACUCCAGCCUGGGUGACAGAGCAAGACUCUGACUCAAAAAAAAAUUUGACAACAUUUUCAGGGACCCAAGUUCUUUCCAUCUUUCUUUUUGUAUUUUGAUGUUUUGAGGUAAAAUAUGAUUAUUAAAAUUUACUAUCUUUACUAUUUUGUUUUUUUUUUUUGAGACAGUCUUGCUCUGUCACCCAGGCUGGAGUGCAGUGGUGCAAUCUUUGCUCAUUGCAAACUCGGCUCCUGGGUUGAAACAAUUCUCCUGCUUCAGCCUCCCAAGGAGCUGGGAUUACAGGCAUGCACCAUCAUGCCUGGCUAAUUUUUCUAUUUUUAGUAGAGGUAGGGUUUCAUCAUGUUGGCCAGGCUGGUCUCGAACUCCUGACCUCAUUAUCCACCUGCCUUGGCCUCCCAAAGUGCUAGGAUUACUGGAAUAAGCCACUGUAUCCGGCCCAUCUUUACUAUUUUUAAGUGUAGAGUUCAGUGGUAAUAUAUACAUUAUAUUCUUUUUUCCCCCUUAUCCCCCUUCUCUGCUACCCUUCCCGGCCUCUGGUAAUCACCAUUCUACUCUCUAACUUCAUGAGAUCCACUUUUUUAGCUCCCACAUGAGUGAGAACAUGCAAUAUUUGUCUUUCUGUGCUUGGCUUAUUUCACUUAACAUAAGGGCCUACAGUUCCAUCCAUAUUGUUGCAAAUGACAGAAUUUCAUUCUUUUUUGUGGAUUAAUAAGAUACCACAUUUUGUUUAUCCAUUCAUCCACUACUGGGCAUUUACGUUGAUUACGUAUCUUGGCUAUUGUUAAUAGUGCUUCAGUAAACAUGGGAAUACAGAUGUCUUUUUGAUAUAAUUUCCUUUCUUUUCCAGAAGUGGAAAUGCUGGAUCAUAUGAUAGUUCUAUUUUAAGUUUAGCUGAGAAGCCUCCAUACUGUUCUCUAUAAUGGCUGUUCUAAUUUAUAUUUCCACAAAUGGUGUACAAGAGUUCCCCUUUCUCCACAUCCUUGCUGGGAUCUGUUAUUACCAUUUUGAUACAAGGCAUUUUAACUAGGGUGAUAUUUCACUGUGUGUUUUUUUGAGAUGGAGUUUUGCUCCUGUCACCCAGGCUAGAGUGUAAUGGUGUGAUCUUGGCUCACUGCAACCUCCGCCUCCUGGGUUCAAGUGAUUGUCCUGCCUCAGCCUCCCAAGUGGCUGGGAUUACAGGUGUCUGCAACCAUGCCUGACUAAUUUUUGUAUUUUUAGUAGAGAUGAGGUUUUGCCACAUUGGCCAGCCUAGUCUCAAACUCCUGAUCUCAAGUGAUCUGCCUGGCUUGGCCUCCCAAAGUGCUGGGAUUACAGACAUGAGCCACCACGCCUGGCCAGCUCAUUGUGGUUUUGAUUUGCAUUUCUCUGAUGAUUAGUGAUGUUGAGUAUGUUUUUUCAUAUAUCUGUUGACCAUUUCUUCUUUUGCGAAGUGUCUGUUCAUAUCUUUUGCCCAUUUUUAAUUUGGUUUUUGUUUUUGAGUUGUUUGAGUUCCUUGUAUAUUAUGGUUAUUAAUCUGUUGUCAGAUGGAUAGUUUGCAAAUAUUUUCUCCCAUUCUGUGGGUUGUCUCUUCACUUUAUGAUUGUUUCCUUUGUUGUGCAGAAGCUUUUUAGCUUGAUGUUAUCCUAUUUGUCUAUUUUUGCUUUGAUAGCCACUGCUUUUGAGACCAUACAUAAGAAAUCUUAGCCCAGACCAAUGUCCUAGAGCAUUUCCCAAAUGUUUUCUUCUAGUAGUUUCAUAGUUUCAAGUUUUAGAUUUAAGUCUUUGAUGUAUUUUUAUUUUAUUUUUGUGCAUGGUGAGAGAUAGGGAUAUAGUUUGAUUCUUCUGCAUACAGUCAUCUAGUUUUCCCAGCAUCAUUUAUUGAGGACUAUCUUGCCCUCAUUUUAUGUUCUUGGUGCCUUUGUUGAAAAAGAGUUAGCUGUAAAUGAGUGGAUUUAUAUUGGGGUUCUCUAUUCUGUUCCAUUGGUCUAUAUAUCUGUUUUUAUGCCAGUACCAUGCUGUUUUGGUUAGUAUGGCUUUGGAGUAUAUUUUAAAAUCAGGUAUUGUGACGCUUCUAGCUUUCUUCUUUUUGCUCAGGAUUACUUUCGCUUUUGGGUGUGUUUUUUGGUUCCAUUCAAAUUUUAGGGUUUUAUUUUACUAUUUCUGUGGAGAAUGUCAUUAGUAUUUUGAUAGGGACUGCAUUGAAUAUGUAAAUUGCUUUGGAUAGUAUUGUUAUUUUGGCAGUAUUAAUUUAGCAAUAUUCUUUCAAUUCAUGAUUAUGAAGUGUUAUAUCUUGCCUUUUUUGUGUGUCUGCCUCAAUUUCUUUCAUCAGAGUUUUAUAGUUUUUCUUGUAUAGAUCUUUUACUUCUUUAAUUAGAAUGAUUCCUAGGUAUUUUAUAUUUUUGUAGCUAUGGUAAAUGGCAUUGAUCUCCUGUUUUUCAGAUUGUUCACUGUUGGUGUAUAUAAAUGCUACUGAUUUUUGUAUGUUGAUUUUUUUUUUUGAGACAGAGUCUUGCUCUGUCACCCAGUGCAGUGGUGAGAUCUUGACUCACUGCAACCUUCACCUCCUGGGUUCAAGUGAUUCUCCUGCCUCAGCCUCCUGAGUAGCUGUGAUUACAGGUGCAUGCAGCCACACCCAGCUAAUUUUUGUAUUUUUAGUAGAAAUGAGGUUUCACCAUGUCAGGCUGGUCUUGAAUCCCUCACCUCAGGUGAUCCACCUGCCUCAGCCUCUCAACGUGUUGAGAAUACAGGCGUGAGCCACCACACCCAGCCGUAUGUUGAUUUUGAAUUUUGCAACUUUACUGAAUUAAUUUAUCAACUCAGUUUUUUGGUGGAGUCUUUGGGUUUUUUAAGUUUUUCUUUCCAACUAUUAUUUUAGGUUCAAGGUGUACCUGUGUAGGUUUGUUACAUGAGUAAAUUGCAUAAAUUUUUAGAUUUUUCUAGCUAUAAUAUUAUGUCAUUUACAAACAAGGCUAAUUUGAUUUUUACCUCUCCAAUUUGAAUGCCCUUUAUUUCUUCCUCUUACCUACUUGCUCUGGCCAGGAUUUCCAGUUUUAUGUUGAAUAAAAGUGGUGAAAAUGGGCAUCCUUGUCUUAUUUCAGUCGUUAGAAGAAAGGCCUUCAAUUUUUUCCCAUUCAGUAUGAAGUUAGCUAUCAUAUACAACCUUUAUUAUUUUGAGGUAGGUUCCUUCUAUACCUAUUUUGAUGAUGGUUUUUAUCAUAAAGAGAUGUUGAAUUUUAUCAAAUGCUUUUUUCAGCAUCUAUUGAAAUAAUCAUAUGGUUUUCUUUCUUGAUUCUUUGAAUGUGAUGUGUCACAUUUAAUGAUUUGCAUAUGUUGAAACAUCCUUGCAUCCCUAGGAUGAAUCCCGCUUUAUCAUGGUGAAUGAUCUUUUUCAUGUGUUGUUGAAUUCAGUUUACUAAUAUUUUGUUGAGGAUUUUUGCAUCUAUUAUGUUCAUUGUUGAUAUUGAUUGGUAGUUUUCUUUUUGUUGUUGUUGUGUUCUUGUCUGGUUUUGGUAUCAGGGUAAUGCUGGCCUUGUAGAAUGUGUUUGGAAAUACUCCCUCCUUUUCAACUGUUUUGAAGCAUUUAAGUAGGAUUACUAUUAGUUUUUUAUAUGUUUGGUAGAAUUCAUCAGUGAAGUCAUCAGGUCCUGGCCUUUUCUUUGAUGGGAGACUUUUUAAUUAUGGCUUUGAUCUCAUUACUCAUCAUUGAUUUGUUGAGGUUUUCUAUUUCUUCAGGGUUCAAACUUAUUUUUCCUUUUUUUGAGAUAGGGUCUCACUCUGUCAUCCAGGCUGGAGUGCAGUGGCAUGAUCACAGCGAACUGCAGCCUUAACCUCCCAGGUUCAAUCAAUCCUCCCACCUCAGUCUCUCAAGUAGCUGGGAUUACAGGCACAUGCCACCACACUUGGCUAAUAUUUUUUUGUAGAGAUGAGGUUUCACCAUUUUUUCCAGGCUGGUUUUGAACUCCUGACCUCAAGUGAUCCACCCACCCCACCUCAGCCUCUCAGAGUGCUGGGGCACAGGCAUAAGCCACCAUGCCUGGCCCAUGAUUCAAUCUGGAUGGGUUGUAUGUAUCCAGGAAUGUAUCCACUUCUUCUAAGUUUUCCAAUUUGUUGGCAUAUAGUUGUUCAUAAUAGUCUCUAAUGAUUCUUUGUAUUUCUGAGUUCUCAGUUAUUAUGUAUUCUUUUCCAUUUUGACUUUAUUUAUUUGGGUUUUCUCUCUUUCUACUUAGUCUAGCUAAAGUUUUUAUCUUUUCAAGAAACCAACUUUUCAUUUUGUUGAUCUUCUGUAUUUUUUUUUAAGUCUCAGUAUCAUGUAUUUCUGCUCUGAUCUUUAUUGUUUCUUUCCUUCUACCAAUUUGGGAGUUAGUUUAUUCUUUCUUUUCUAGUGCCUUGGAGUACAUCUUUAGUUAUUUUAUUUGAAGUCUUUCUAUUUUUGAUAUAGGAAUUUAUUGAUAAACUUCCCUCUAGUAUUGCUCUUGCUAUAUCCCAUAUAUUUUAGUAUGUUUUAUUUCCAUUUUCAUUUAUUUCAAGAAAAUUUAAAAGUUCCUUCUUAAUUUUUUCAUUGACUAUUUAAGAGCAUGCUGUAUGAUUUCCAUGUGUUUGUGUAUUUUCCAAAGUUUCUCUUGUUACUAAUUCCUAGUUUUAUUUCUCUGUGGUCAGAAAAGCUACUCAAUAUGAUUUCUAUUUUUAAAAUUUGUUUGGGUAUAUUUUGUGGCCUAAGAUAUGGUCUAAUCUGGAGAAUAUUCCAUGUGCAAUGAAAAGAAUCAGUAUUCUGCAGCACGGAAUACACAGAAUGAAGUUAGCUGUCAUAUGGAUGAAAAUGUUCUGUAAAUGUUAAUUACGCCUAUUCUAGUGUGUAGUUUAUGCUCUUUGUUCAUUUUCUGUCUGGAUAAUCUGUCCAUUACUGAGAGUGGGGUGUUAAAGUCGACUACUAUUAUAUUGCAGUCUAUCCUUUUAGAUCUAUUAAUGUUUGCUUUAUAUACUUGGUGGUUCUGGUGUUGUGUGCAUAGAUUUUUAUAAUUGUUAUAUCCUCUUGCUUAAUUGACCCCUUUCAUGAUCCUCUUUGUUUCUUUUUACAAUCUUAGAUUUGUAGUCUAUUUUACGUAAGCAUAGCACUCCUGCUAUUUUUGGUUCCCAGUUGCAUGAAAUAUCAUUUUCCACCACUUCACUUUUGGUCUAUGUGUGUCUUUAUAAGUGAAGAGUUUCUUGAAGGCACCAUAUAGUUUGGUCUUUUUUUAAUUCAUUCAGUCACUCUAUGCCUUUUAUUUGGAAAAUUGAGACGAUUUACAUUCAGUAUUAUUAUUAAGUAAAGACUUACUACUGCCAUUUUUUUUUUGGUCUAUUUUCUGAUUGUUUUAAGACUCCUUUCUUCCUUUCCUACUGUCUUCCUUUGUGGUUAUUUUCUCUGUUAAUAUGUUUUAAUUUUUUGUUUUUUAUUUUUAGUAAAUCUAUUAUAGGUUUCUGGGCUGUGGUUACCAGGAGGUUUACAAAAAAUAUCAUAUAGAUAUAAAAAGUUAUUUUAAAGAGAUAAUAUUUUAGAUUAUAAAGAGAGGAACAGAAACAAAGGCAAACACAUACACACAAAAUUCCACAUUUUGACUUAGUUGUCUCAAUUUACAUAUUUUUAUAUUAUCUAUCUCAAUAUGUUGCUAUAACUAUUGUUUUUGAUUGAGCUUCAUACUAGAGUUAUGAGUGCUUAUACACCACAAUUAUUGUAACAGAAUAUUCUGAGUAUUCUAUAAUUUUUUUUUUUUUUUUUGAGAUGGAGUCUCACUCUGUGGCCAGACUGGAGUGCAGUGGCAAGAUCUUGGUUCACUGCAACCUUCACCUCUAGUGUUCAAUCGAUUCUCCUGCCUCAGCCUACCGAGUAGCUGGGACUACAGGUCUUGAACUCCUGUGUUCAGGUGAUCCACCUGCUUUGGCCUCCUGAAUUGCUGAGAUGACAGGUGUGGUAAGCACAAUGCCCGGCUUACUUUUAUUUUUGACAGUAAGUUUGUAAAACUGAGUAAAUUUUGUAACUUAAUACUGCAACUAUUCCAUCUCCACUUUGAACCUUGAUUUCACAUAAAUUAGAUGAGAUUGAAAAUAUAUAUUAUGUUUUAAGAACUAAAAUGUAAUCAUCACCUUAUAAUAUAUUAAUUUAAUGUUACACUGGAUUGCUAUAUCAUGGGAUUUGUAAAAGAUACCAAUAUCAUUACAGCAGUAUGUUGAAAGCAUACUAAGAUCAAAUUUCUGCAGGUUAUUUUGAGGCCCAGCAAACUUAAACUCCAAAAAUAACCCAACUUACAAAGAGGAUUAAUAUGAAUGAGGAAAUACUGCCCUAAUGUGGCAAAGUUUAGAGUUAUAAUUAUGCAGUUGGAUCUUUAAUAAAAAAAUUUUCAAUCAAAUCAAACAAAAAACUCACUGAAAUGAAUAUAAAAUAACAAAUGUUUACCUUUGUUCUGUUUUUGAAGUGCUGAACAUUUUUCUAAACAGCUGACAGGAGUAAAGACAUCAUUAUAGUCCAUGUGGGUAUAUAAGCUGGCCUCCUCUACUUCAAUUUGGGAGUCUGGAUUUGAACUUGGAACAACUUCGUCAAAUUCACAGUUAAUCUGGGUCACCAUUCUUGUAAUUGUUUUUCUGUGACAGUAUAAAAUUACUAAUGUUAUGUUUAUGGCCUAUUUUAAAACACUUUUAUUGGUAAAUACUAUAUUUCACUGUGGAAAGAAAUUAUCAAAUUCCAACAGAUACAGAGAAGAAACAUAUAUAAUCCCAUCACUCAAGAUGAAUAUAAAAAUUAUGUAAAUCUCUCAAUUUAAAAAAAAUCUUUAAAUAGUAGAUUAAUGACAAUAGCAUUCUAUAACCUGUUCUUUCCUGUAAAACAAUGAAGAAUGAACACAUUUACAUGUCAAUCAAUGUACAUUCAACUAAUAUUUGAAUGGAUACACAGGUAUCAGUAAAUCAUGAUUUAUUCAACCAAUUCCUGAUUGCUGGAAAUUUAAGUUUGUUUUAAUUGUUUGGUAUUGUGAGCAACAAUGCAAAGAACAUCUAUAUUCACUAAUAAUCUCAAAAUACAUUUCUUAAAAACAGAAAUGAUGAAGUUAAAGGUAUACAGAUUUUUAGGUUUUGCCACACAUUGCCAAACUGCCUUUGUGCUGGAUAUUCAAUGUCUGUUCCUCAAUAAAAUUACCCAAGCUUUUAUGUUCUUUUCUGUAACCUGGGAAGCUAAUCUCUAUGUUCUAACCAAGCUUCCUUAUCCUCUGGCUUCUGGAUGGGUUCAGCCAUGGAAAGCACUGGCAGACGAGCGAAGGUGAGAGAGAGACAGGUUGGAAUAUUAUUCCUCCCAAAUCCUUCUCUGUUGGGCCACAGUUUGGAACUGGCUGCACUCUUCCACCAAAAGUUACAUCCCUUGUCAGACAGCCCUGCUCCCGUAGUUCUUACUAGCUUGGUAACUGCAUAGGCACCUUGUUCCUUCAAUCUUAGGGUAGUAACAGCUUUGUAACUGCCCAGCGGGUUCACUUUGCUCACUGCCUAGACAGUCGAUUUAUCAAGACAGGGGAAUUGCGAUGGAUACAGAUUAAUUCAUGCAGAGCCAGCUGUGCACGAGACCAGUGUUUUAUUAUUACUCAAAUCAGUCUUCCUGAGCAUUGGGGGAUCAGAGUUUUUAAAGAUAAUUUGGCAGGUAAGGGCUUGGAAAGUAGGGAGUGCUGACUGGUCAGGCUGGAGAUGAAAUUAUAAGGGAUGCAAGUGAGGUUUUCUUGCUGUCUUCUGCUCCUGGGUGGGAUUGCAGACCUGGUUAAGCCAGAUUACUGGCUAGGUGGUGUCAGCUGAUCCAUUAAGUGCAGGGUCUGCAAAAUAUCUCAAGCACUGAUCUUGGAUUUUAUAAUAGAGAUGUUAUUCUCAGGAGCAAUUUGGAGAGGUUCAGAUUCUUACAGACAGAGGCUUCAUGACCCCUAACCCAAAAUUUCUAAUCUUGUAGAUAAUUUGUUAGUCCUACAAAGACAAUCUGGUCCCCAGGCAAGAAGUGGGUCUUCUCAGGAAAAGGCUAUAAUCAAUUUUGUUUCAGAGUCAAACCAUACACUAAAUUCCUUCCCAAGAUUAGUUCAGCCUACACCCAGGAAUGAACAAGGGCAGUUUAAAGGUUAGAAGCAGGAUGGAAUCAGUUAGGUCUGAUCUCUUUCACUGUCAAAAUUUCCUCAGUUAUAAUUUUGGGGAAGGCAGUUUUAACUUCCUACUGUUGCUAGUCCUGAGGACAUCUUUUUGGCUCUUUUAACCUUGCCCUUACCUGUUUCCUGAUUGAUACAGGUGUAUCUGCCAUUGUCUAUACCAUUACAAUUGUUGGCAUUACAAGAGAUCUUCCAAUAGAUAAAUAUAUUAUUGGCAACUUAGUUAUACGUCCUAAUAUACUUUUUUCCUGAUAUCCUGGAACAUUACAGCCCUGAUCAUUCCUUUGUGCAGACUGAAAGAACCAAAAUCAGUAUAAGUCUCCAUACGGGAGAAAAGACCAAUUAUGUCAUAUCUGUAGGAUAUGUAUUUUCCUCUUCAAAGAACCAGUAUGUCAGUAUGUUCAGCUUCCCUGUUCUUUGCUCUCUAUUUUAAGGUUCAAAUUCCGUGUUCUUUAUGUCCUCUUCCCCCUGGUUUCAGUAAACAACCCCUUCCUAGUCUCUAUCACUAGUGGCUCUGUCCUUAGUCACCUGCUCUGUCCUUAGUCAUCCUUAGUCACCUACUCUGUAACACAUCCUUCCCACCAAAACUACUAACUCUGCCACACUGGAUUGUACCCCUGCUCUCUAUAAAAUAGCCAAUCAGAAUUAGCUUAGACUGUGCAGUCCAACACUAGCUAAUAGGGGAAAGACACAGCAGUAGGAACUAGUUGCAUCAGGGAUAAGACACCCUUCCCCUACCUUCUCUGAUGUGCUCUUGCCAUUCCUCCAUCCCUGAGAUGCACCCUUCUAUAGAAGUAAAUUUGCCUUGCUGAGUAAAUUUAUGUUUGAGUGCUAUUUCUUUUGCGGCACUGAAAAUUUGUUUUUAACAUAUCUUAAAAUCAUAGAUGGAGAAAGCUUUAGAAUUUAUCCUUUAAGAAAAUACAAAGUAGUGGAAAAAAUAUUUUAACUCUUCAAUGUCCAUAUUACUAAUUAAGAUCCCUGAAUCCUAUAUGGAUCGUAUAUACUGAACUCAGUGUUUACAUAGUUGCUGUUGUUUUAAAACAAAUGUUGCUCACAGGGUCAGCACUCUAUAACAAUGCUUGGUACUACAGUUUUGAGAAUACCAGUCAAUUUUAUUUCUGUAGACACAAAAGAUCUAUGAAGAUCAGUGUUUCCUGGCUCUCCUCAUGUACCUCUCUGUCAAUAUAUUUAUUCUCUUUUCACUGGUGCCUCCUCCUUUGCAUAAUGUGUCUUUACACUGGUCUUUACCAGGUUUCUACUCCAGAUCAUCUUUACUUUCCUUCUACAUCAUUCCUUUUAAGUCAGUUAAUCUACUCCCAUUCAUUAAUUUGUAAACUUAACAAAACUAUUUAUUAAGUGUCUGUAAUGUGCUAACACCAUUCUAGAUACUGAGAAUGGGGUAGUAAACAAAACAAAGUUCUUUCCUUCAUAGAGCUUAUCUCCUAAAAGGAAGAUAGAAAAAUAAGUAUAUAACAUAAUUUCAGGUGGUAAAAAAUGUUAUGACUAGGUCAGGUGUGGUGGCUCAUGCCUGUAAUCCCAGCAUUUUGGGAGGCUGAGGGAGGUGGAUCACCUGAGGUCAGGAGUUUGAGACCAUCCUGAUCAAUAUGGUGAAACCCCAUCUCUACUAAAAAUAAAAAAAUAAAAAAUAGCUGGGCAUGGUGGCAGAUGCCUGUAAUCUCAGCUACUCGUGAGGCUGAGGCAGGAGAAUCACUUGAACCUGGGAAGCAGAGUUUGCAGUGAACUGAGAUCGUGCCACGGUAUUCCAGCCUAGGUGACAGAGAGAGACUCUGUUUCAAAAAGAGGGAGAGAGAGAGAGAGAGAGAGAGAGAGAGAGAGAGAGAGAGAGAGAGAGAGAGAGAGAGAGAGAUAAAGUACUGGUGGGGAGCGGUGGCUCACACCUCUAAUUCCAGCACUUUGGAAAGCUGAGGUGGGUGGAUCGCUUGAGGCUAGGAGUUUGAGACCAGCCUGGCCAACAUGGUGAAACCCCAUCUCUACUAAAAAUACAAAAAUUAGCCAGAUGUGGUGGUGCAUGCCUAUAAUUCCAGCUACUCAGGAGGCUAAUGUACAAGAAUCACUUGAACCCAGGAAGCAGAGGUUGCAGUGAGCUGAGAUUGUACCACUGCACUCCAGCCUAGGUGACAGAGUAAGACUCUGUCUCAAAAAAAAAGAGAGAGAGAGAGAGAGAGAAAGAGACUGCCUCCAAAAGAGAGAGAGAGAGAGAGAGAAAGCACUAAUACAUGUGACAACAUGGACAAACCCUGAAAACAUUAUAUUAAGUAAAAGAAAUCAAUCACAAUAAAAGCACAUAUUGUAUGAUUCCAGUUAUGUGAAAUAUCCAGAAUAGGCAAAUCAAUAGACAGAAAGUAGAUUCUGAUUCAGUUAGUCCAUUUUGGAGCCUGAGAUUGUGCAUUUCUAAUAUAUUUCUAGGUGUUAUUGAUGCUGCCAGUCCAAAGACCUACUUUGAGUAACAAGAUGCGAGAUGAUCUCUAAGAUCUCUUUUCACCUUAUGAAAUAAUAAUUUAGUUUUUACCAAACUAGCCCAAUUAUUGCCUUUGCUGAAUAGUGAUUGCAUAUUUCAGCAUCUAUGCCUGGAAACAUGUUGUUUCCUCUGCUCAAAAUCCUUUCUCUUGAGUUAAUUUCUCUUUCAUUGCCCAGCUAUUUAAGCUCAAUUCCUACUUAUGUGAAGCUGACCUCUCCUACUUACAAAUGCACAGCUCUACCAAUCUAACUUAUAAGGUGAAAAGAGAUCUUAGAGAUCAUCUUGCAUCUUGUUACUCAAGGUAGGUCUUUAACUGGUAGCAUCAGUACCACCUAGAAAUAGAUUAGAAGGGCUCCAAAACAGAAUCUGAAUAAUAAUCUGCAUUUUAAUAAGAUCCUCAGGGGAUUCAUAUGUACACUAAAGUUUGAGAAGCACUGAUCCAUCAUCAUCAUACUGAUAAAAUAAGGAUCAUAGGUAAAAUGACCAGCAAAGGAGUUAGCGCUUGACUUUUGCAGUCAAGGUUUAAAAUCUACAUAUUUUAAUUCAUAGUGCAGAGCUUUUUUCACUAUACUGUUCUGUUUCCUUGCUGCUUAGGAGUUUACUCAUGUAAUACAUACUUCUAAUUGGCCAUAUGCCUUGUUAUAGACUUUAUGUUGGUCAUCCUAUAUUAUCAUUUAAUUCUUACAUUGUUAAUUUUUUCUGUACUUAUCUAUUAUCUUCCUAACCUGACUUUAAAUUCCUAGAUGACAAAGAUUGCAUAUUGGGAUUCACUGUAUCCAGUGUAGACACCUUUCAAUGGUUUUUUUGUUUCUUUGAAGCACAACUAAGGAAAAUUUAAAUUACAGAAACUCAAAAAUGUAAAUAAUAAUGGAAUCUUUCCUGGGUCUGAUCAGCAUUCUGUGCAUGAAGUGAAGCAACAGAGUAAAUUAUUAAAUUUGCACUAAAAUAUCUACUUUAUGUCUAUAUUUACAAUGUAGAACAGGUUAGAUGUUCUUCCUCAUAUUAUGUUCUGAGUGCCUAUAUCUGUCAUUGUACUUUGUGCAUUGCAUUGUAAUUAUUUCUUUAUAAAACUGUAUUCCUUGUUUUCAUGUGUUCUUUGAAGAUUAAGACUAUGUCUUAUUCAUUUUUAUAUCUUGUAUCUAAUACAUAGCAUGAUAAUAAAUAUUUGAUGAAUGCUUAAACUAAUAAUAAAUAAUGUUUUGACCAAAUAUAUUACCAAAAAUAGCCUUAAAUCUGCAUUUUUAUUAAAGGGAAAAAGAGUUUAAUAUGAAGAACUUCCUACAGAUACUUUCUACAGAAAGUUUACUAAUUAAAAAAGAGGAUAGAAGUCACUCCUAUUAACUACUCCUUUGUGGUUCAAAUUAGGACCUUUUCUUCAGAUAAAAGAAGAAAAUCCGUGAAGAAAUAAAGGAAGAUAUUUCCAUCUUUAGGUUUCUGGAGAACUUACUGUUUAUCUUCUUUUAGAUGUAAAAGAGAAAUUUGAGAUUAAGGAUACAUACUUCUCAAGGAAGUCGUCCACAAAGAGACUUGCUUUCCAUUGGUCCAAGACUGAGGUAUCUGUCAUUCCCAGAACUGAAACAGCUGAGACUAGAAAGGAUAAUGCCUUCUGUUAGAAGAAGAUGCCAACAAGGACUUUCAUAGCUUGAGAGAAGUCAACGCCUGGCUUCAGAGCUUCAAAGGACAAGCUGACUCUUGCUAGAAGCUAAUGCCGUUGCUGAUUUUAAGUUGAAGCUAAUGCUUAUUUACCAUACUGAAAAUCCCAGGGCCCUGAAGAAUACUAACUCUACCCAAUCUAUGCUCUAUAAAUGGAACAAAACCUGGAUGAUGGCACAUGUAUUUACAACAUGGUUUACUGAAUAUUUUAAGCCCAUUUUGAGACCUACUGCUCAGAAAGAAAAAAAAAAAGGAAUACUUUCAAAAUAUUACAGCUCAGUGACAAUGUACCUGGCCACCCAAGAGCUCUGAGGGAGAUGUACAAGGAGAUUAAUAUUUUUACACCUGCUAAUGCAAUAUCUAUUCUGCAGCCUAUGGAUCAAGGAGUCAUUUCAACUUUAAGGUCUUAUGGAAAUAAAUAUAUUUUGUAAGGAUAUAGCUGCCACAGAUGGUGAUUCCUCUGAUAGAUCUAGGCAAAGUCCUUUGAGAAAGGAGAACAAUUCUGGAUGCCAUUAAGUAUAUUUGUGAUCAUCAGAGGAGGCCAAAAUAUCAACAUGAACAGAAGUUUGAAAGAAGUUGAUUCCAACCUGCAUGGAUGAGUUUCAAGAAUUCAAGACUGCAGUGGAGGAAGUACAUAACUAUAGAUGUGAUAGAAAUAGCAAGAGAAUUUAAAUUAAAAAUGGAUGCUGAAGGUGUGGUUGAAUUACUGCAAUCUCAUGAUAAAACUUGAACAGAUGAGGAGUUGCUUCUUAUGGAUGAGCAAAGCAAGGGGUUUCUUAAAACGGAAUCUACUCCUGGUGAAGAUACUGUAAACAUUGUUAAAAUGACAACAAAGUAUUCAGAAUAUUCCAUAAAUUUAGUUGAUAAAACAACAGCAGAGUUUUAGAGGAUCGAGUCUAAUUUUCAAAGAAGUUCUGUGAGUAAAAUGCUAUCAAACAGCAUUGCAUUCUACAGAAAUCUUUGGUGAAUCAAAGACUCAAUCGAUGUAGCAAACUUCAUUGUUGCCUUAAGAAAUUGCCACAGCCACCACUUUGAUCAGUCAGCAGCCGUCAACAUCAAGGCAAGACACUCUACCAGCAAAAAGAUGAUGACUCACUAAAGACUCAGAUAUUGAAUCAAUCUAACAGUGGUGAGUGGAGUGGAUACAAGAUAGAUUGCUCUUAUUUCUAAAACCAAAGAUAUGGGGGAAAUGAACAAAAUCAUGGAGAGAAGGUGAUUCUAAACACUGCUGCCAGGAUGAUAUUUCUAAAACAGUUAACUGAGAAUACCACUUUCCUGCUUAAAUUCGUUCAACUGUCACCUCCAGCAUAAAACCUGAAAUCCUUAUAUGGAACAACUCGCAGUCAAUCCCAUUUAUUAUGGAAUCCUGAACUGUUGGCCAUUCUCUGAAUAUCUCUCAGAUUCUCCCACUCCUAAGUCUUUGUUCCUGCUAAUUUAUUUUGUACUCUGAUCACAUGUUGAAAUCCUACUUAUUCUAUAAAUUUUAAUUUAAUAUAUUUCCUCCUCCCACUGGCACUCUUAGUGAGAAUUAGUGGUUACCUUUUGUUAUUCCUACAAUUUUUGUUAGUAUCCUUUUCAUGUUUUGCAUUAUAAUUGUUUUGUUCAUGUCUGCCUUCCCCAUCAGACUUCAGUCUUCUUGAUAUCAUGGCCAUGAAUCAUGUCUUAAUUAUCUUUAUGUAACUAGCACAAUGCCUUAUCUAGAGUAAGUACUGUGAUGAAUAUUUAAUUACAUUCACUUCUUCACAUCUGGCACUAGGUUAUUUUGAAAUAAUGACUAUCAAUUUUCUUGUACUUCCUACUAAAUAUAGGUUUUCAGGGUUUUUGCAGGAGCAAACGUGUAUGAAAUAUUACACACACACACACACAUACAUGCCUGUGCAAAAGUAAACAUGGCAUGAAUAUAACAGAUAAUCAGCUUGAGACAGAAUUACAGAUUAGCUCAAACCAGAUCAUGCAGAAAAUCUGGAUAUGGAAUAAAAAGUAUUGCACAAAUAUGUUGCAUAAGUAAUUUAUUGUCUUCUGGCUGCUAAUUUAUAGGUGUAACCUCACAUACUAUCUUUUGAUCACCAUUAAGGGACUGUUUUACACCAAUAGACUGAGAGCAAACAUUUUAAUACAACAUAUUCAGUCUAAUUAAGCUGGAUAAUUACUGCUGGAAAAGAGGUAUGGUAGCAACAGCAUGUAAAGAAAUUUUUGCAAGUAUGGAAGGGAAACCUAACAUUUCAUAUUCAUGUAGAUUACCUCUUUUCAGAUACAAAAAGACAAAUAUUGUUCUAGCCUAUUUUGGCAGUAUUUGUCUCUGUAAACACUAUUACUUUUCUCUGUCCCAUAUGUUCAACCCCUCAAUGCUUUUCUGAUUAUGAACAAUUUCACAUAUCAUAUGCUUAUUGGAUCUUUUACCUGAAAAAUUCAGGUAAGCCAAGAUUCUUGUCAUAAACUUUAUCUAUGCUUAGACUUCACUUUGUAACCCAGAAGAAAAAGUGGCAAUUGGGCGACCAUUUCCAUGGGAAAUGUAGAAGUACUAAUCCCAUGCUUUCACAUUUGCCUAGGUAAUAUUUACCCUAAAACCUUGCGUAUGAUGUGGUCCAGUGAAGUUAAGCAGUUUGCCCAGAAUUACAUAGGCAGAUCUAGAACUCAGGUCUUCUGACUUCUGCCCUGUGAGGUAUAACCUUACUUAUUGAUUUAUCCAUCAGUUAUUUUUAAGCGUAUAUUAUGAGCAAGUAAAUGUGCUAGUUGGGGAGAGCAAACUGAUUCUACUCUUUCAAUGUAAUAGGGAAAAGAAACCAUUUACGUAAAUAUUAUUCCUUGAGAAAAUUAAUGUCAUAAGAAUAUGGAAGUUUAAAAAAGGAAAUAGUGCUUUAUUAUUUCAACAAAUAAGUUAUAGAGAUGCAAAAAAAUUGAUUAGAUAACUCAUUUAGAUAUUUUACCAGAUUAUCUGCACCAAUGGGAAGUCUAGCUGUUUAGACCACAAAAGUCACAAUAUAGCAGACUGUGUACUUGAUGGAAGAUGUAACUUGCAAAACAAAUAACAGCCAAAGGUCUAAACUUGCAAAUUUGAACUUUAAUAAGUUAUAAUAGAUGUCUCAAAUAUCCAAGGUAACAAACAUCAUCCUUAUAAAACGUGGAAAAACUAUUAUAUCUUUCUCUCACCAAAAUAAGUCUUAAUGUUGUUUGAGAUAUCUUUGAUUGCUUUUAUGUCUUAUGGUGGAUCAUGAGGUCAGGAGAUUGAGGCCAUCCUGGCCAAUAUGGUGAAACCCCAGCUCUACAAAAAUACAAAAAGAAAAAAAUUAGCCAGAGGUGGUGGUGUACACCUAUAGUUCCAGCUACUUGGGAGGCUGAGGCAGGGGAAUUGCUUGAAUCUGGGAGGCGGAGAUUGCAGUGGCUGAGAUCGCACCACUGCACUCCAGCCUGGCAACAGAGUGAGACUCCAUCACAAAAACAACAAACAAACAAAAUGAAGGAGAUGGGGCAUUGGGCUAAACUUGGGGAGAAGAAUGUUACAUUAAUAAUAAUUUCAUAGGCAAGAAAAAUCAUUUUAUGAAAAGCUGCAAGUAGACCUUUCCCAUAAAUAAAAAUAUUUUGUAAACAACAAUUCUCAUGUAAUUUAGACUUAAUCAUGUGUCUCAGAAUAUAAGCUAAUUUAACAAAUGAUUUUUGAAUACCUACUAUGUGUGCUCAGUAUGUACAACUUCAGGAGAAAGAUAACUUGUGUUGUCUCUUACAGGAAAGAAGAACACCUAGAAACAGUAAUGUUAAUGACCAUCUACUGACCAUCUAUUUAUCAUUUAAUAGACUAUUGACUAUCUUCUUUAAGUACCCUUCUUCUUUGGUUUCUUGCUUCCAAAAACCAGAAACUAUUUCACUUGUUCUCUGCUUGGGCUCUUUAUCAUUUUGGAAGAAAAUAGCAAAACCACAAAAUCAGGCUCAUUAGUUGCACUACAAAUAUAUGCUGUGCAACUUUAGCUAGACUUUCAAUGCCAGUUGUCAAUCAUUAUUUCCAUUCAUUUGGUAUAGACAGCAUGUGUUGAUGUAUGCCAACAAUAUUCUAGGUGUGAGGAAUAGAGUCUCAAACAAGACAUUAUCUAUAUAUUUAUUUAUUUAGAGACAAGAGUCUCGCUCUGUCUCACAGGCUGAAUUGCAGCGGCGCGAUCUUGGCUCACUGCAAUCUCUGUCUCCCAGGUUCAAGAGAUUCUCCUGCCUCAACCUCCUGAGUAGCUGGGAUUACAGGUGUGUGCCACCACACCCGUCUAAUUUUUGUAUUUUUAGUAGAGAUGGGUGUCAGUAUAUCAGCCAGGCUGGUCUCAAACUCCUGACCUGGUGAUCCACCUGCCUUGGCCUCCCAAAGUGCUGGGAUUACAGGCACGCGCCAACAUGCCUGGCUAAUUUUGUAUUUUUACUGGAGAAGGGGUUUCACCAUGUUGGCCAUGCUGAUCUCAAACUCCUGAUCUCAGGUGAUCCACCUGCUCCAGCCUCCCAAAGUGUUGGAAUUACAGGCAUAAGCCACUGCACCCAGCCCUACCUGUUUAUUUCUAAAUGGCCCCUUAUCGUAUUCUAAUAACAUCUAGACCACUGGUUCUCAUUUGGAGGUGACUUUGUCCCUUACGGGGACAUUCGGGCAUGUCUGAAGAAGUUUUUGUUGGUCAAAACUGGGGGAAAGCCAGCCUGGCUAUGUGGCCCCCACCUGCUCCUGCUACUCAGGUGUGGUCUUCACCUGCCAGGCCCUUCCCCCCUAGCUUGGGGCGAGCAGAGCUGCAUCCAGUGGAACUAAAGCUGGUCCAGGAUUAUUGAAAACUGAGCAACAACCUUGUGGGACCUGGGUCAUCAUGUACUCCCCCAACUGGAAGAUAUUUCUCUGGCCUCUAUUCCCAUCUCAAGACCCCACCUUCCACCUAUGGUGGUGAGUCUUCUAUACCCAGUGUGUCGACCUUCAACAGCCCACCUCCACACCAGAUGUCCUGCAAUGGAUGCCUAAGCUUUUGGAGAAACAAGGCUCAUGCCUGUAAUCCCAACACUUUGGGAGGCUGAGGUGGGCCGAUCAUGAGGUGAGGAGUUCAAGACUAGCCCGGCCAACAUGGUAAAACCCCAUCUGUACUAAAAAUACAAAAAUUAGCUGGACAUGGUGGUGGGUGCCUGUAAUCCCAGCUACUUGGGAGACUGAGGCAGGAGAAUCACUUGAACCCGGGAGGCAAAGGAUGCAGUGAGCCAAGAUCACACCAUUGCACUCCUUCCUGGGAAACUGGGCAAGACUCGAUCUCAAAAAACAAACAAACAAAAUACUAGGGGAAAGGGUCCUGGUAUCUAAUAGGUAGAGGUCAAGGAUGUUGCUAAAUGUUCCGCAAUGAACAGGACAGACUCCAUGCUCCCCAAAAAGAAUGAUCUGUUAAAUGAAAUCUAAGAAAUCUUGAUCUAGACUAAUCUAUUCCCACAUUCUCCAUACUCUUCUAGUCAUAUAUAUAAGGCCUAUCUCAUUUCCUGCAGGUGACCUCAUAUUCUGCUUGAGUGGGAAGUUGUGUUUUUUUCCACUUUUCUCUUUUUAUCUCAAAAUGUCCAUUUAGCCUCAUUUGGCAUUUUCUUACUCUCUUCUUUCUGUGAAUAAGUAUUUCUCUUUCUUUCUAAUAUAUUAUCUUUUAAUCUUUAUGUCUUAUCUUAUCCUCCAAAUUAUUUAUACCUACAAAAAUACAUUCUGUAUUACAGUGUACAAACAGAUAAGAAAAGCAGAGUACUAUUUCCCUUGAAUUCGAUAUCUCAUCCCCACUCACCUCCUCCAGAACUUAGUUUGUAGGUGUUUCCCUCUAAUGUACAUCUUCAUUCUGUCUCCUAUCAUGUCUUUUCUGUAUCUAAAAAGUGCUUCUAAAAAUAUUUUCUAACACUCUUAUUUUGAACCUUUUACUUUAAAACUUUUUUGUAUUCCUAUGACUCCACUACCUCUUUCCUAGACUACUGUAAUUUUCUCAUAGCUGUUCUCCCAGCCUCUAAUCUAGUCUACAUAGUGCUGUCAAAUAAGAUUAUACUUACUACUCUAAUUAAAGUCCUUUGGUAGUUAACCAAUAAUAACUUUGAUAUGUCAAGCAUCUCCUAUUUUCAAGGUACGAAGCUUGGUACAUAAGUUAGUAUUAGUCUCUCUAUUAGAUAAAAGAGCAAACUGAGGUUUAAAGAGGUCAAGUGGCUUGCUCAAAACUAUAUAGCUAAGAAGUGAGGGGCCAAGACAAGUCUAAUGCCAAAGUUUGUACAUUUCACACAAGUCUUCAUUUCCUAAGGAAUGAAUUCUAAACUCCUUAGUGUGGCCUUCAGGACUCUUUGUGAUCUGGUUCCAUGCUUUUUCCAGCUACUGCUGACCUUCAUCCACCCUACACUACUGUUAAAUUACUGUUGUUUUCUCCAUACUAUCUUUGCUUUCAUUUCUUCUGUUUGCUCCCUCUCAUACUGUACUGUCUUAGUCCAUUUUCUGUUGCUUAUAACCAAAUACCUGAAAAUUAGUUAUUUAUAAGAAAAGGAGUUUAUUUUUUGCAGUUAUGGAGGCUGAGAAGUCCAAGGUCAAGGGAUUGCAUUUGGUGAGAGUCUUUUUGCUGGUGGGAACUCUGCAAAGCCCCCAACUGGUACAGGGUAUCACAUGGCCAGGGGGAUAAGCAUGGCAGAUCAGGUCUCUCUUCUUCUUAAAAAGCUACCAAUGCCACUCCCAUAAUAACCCAUUAAUUCAUUAAUUCAUGAAUGGGUUAAUCCAUUCAAGAAGGCAGAGCCCUCAUGACCCAAUCACCUCUCAAAGGCCCCUUCUCUCAAUACUGCUACAUUGGGGAUUAAAUUUCAACAUCAGUUUUGGAGCAAACAAAUAUUCAAACCAUAGCAUAUGCCCUCUGUCUACAUGAUCUUUCUCACACAUCCUCAUAGGUCCAAGUACUUAUUCAUUUGUCAAAGCCCAGUUCAAGCUUCCCAGUUAAAUUUCCUGAUCUCUGAUCUGCUCUUUUCUUUUUUACUGGUAGAGCUUUUCUUACUUUCAAAUUUUGUUAUCAUUAAUUGUAUGUAUGCUCUUUUGUCCUUCUACUCACACUCCUUUAGAGCAAGGAAUUUGUUAUGUGAUAGUAACCUUUUUGUGUAACAUUUUAUAAACACUCUCUUUUUUUUUUUUUUUUUUUUUUAGACAGAGUCUUGCUCUGUUGCCAGGCUGGAGUGCAGUGGCGUGAUCUCGGCCCACUGCAACCUCCACCUCCCAGGUUCAAGCAAUUCUGCCUCAGCCUCCCCAGUGGCUGAGGCUCCAGACAUGUGCCACCACAUCCAGCUAAUUUUUGUAUUUUUAGUAGAGACAGGGUUUCACCAAGUUGACCAGGAUGGUCUUGAUCUCUUGACCUUGUGAUCUGCCUGCCUCAGCCUCCCAAAGUGCUGGGUUUACAGGCAUGAGACACCACACCUGGCCAAGCACUGUUUCAUGUAUGUUAAAAACCUGACAAAGAGUAGGAGCUCAGUAAAUGUUUGUUUGGUUCUCAUCUUCAUAGCAACUCUCCAAGGUAUUAUUAUACUUUACUAUUAGUAAGGAAACUAAAGCUCCAAGAUGUGAAGUGACCUGCCCAAGAGCAUAAAUGUUCCAGGGUAACCGAAGCUCCAACUGGAAAAUUCUGUCUCAGUUGAAAGUUAUUUCUGCUACCCUACCUAUGGCAUCAGAGUUUUGUUUUCCCAUAUAUAUCCUAUCUCAAUACCUUGGUCUAAGUAGUUUUUGAAUAAGAGGUAAAUGAAUGAGUAAAUGUUUGUUAAGAUUCUUUCAUGAGAAUCAUGAGAGAUUUGUUGGUCACUGAAAAUAAGAGUAUUUGAGGAUAUGACUCAUUCUCACACAUAGUAUUUAUUGUUCACUUACGCAGAAGGAAAACAAUUCUCCCAUUCUGAUAAAAUGUCUUAAACAACAUUUUAUGUUCUCCACGUAAGAACACCAGCGUUACACACCUUUAACAAACACGGUUUUAUAUUUCACUUAAAAUCAGAAGCUAGUAAGAAAAUUGAGGAAAUAAUUUUUCAUCUUUUAGUUUUAAUUUUUACAUAGCGAAAUUUAUCAUUCUCUUUCUUAUAGUUUCUGCCUUUAGGGCCAUAUUUGGAAAAGCCAACUCCAUCCCAAAGAUUGCAUAAAUUUUCAAAUAUAUUUUCUUCUGUUUUUAUCAUGUCAUCUUUUACAUUUAGAACCUCUAGGAUGAUAUAUGUAUAUAUGGGUGUGUAAGGCAUAAAAUGUGUUCUAGAUUUAAUAUUUUUCUUACAAAGUUUAAUGAAUUACCUCAACACUGUUUUUUGACUUUUCCCUUUUAUUUUAAAUUACGUCUUUACCAUUUACUCCCAUGUACUAAAUUCUACAUACUUAAUUUGUUCUGUUAAUUUGUCC